CAGAACCAGCCGCUGUCCCCUGGCAAAAGAGGCCCAGUGCUGAGCCCUGGGCAAGUGUCUGCAGACAUCUCCUCCUCCCCUAUAAGUUUCCCUUACCAACAGAAAUCAUUUCCCCUUGCCACCAAAACUAGGUUGCAUCCAAAAGUUUCUCACAAGCUUUAAAGAGAAAAACGAAAAAUUGACAACUGUUACACAGAAGAGCUCACAAAUCCGCAGCAGCACCAGGGGGUGAAGAAGCAGCGACAGACCCAGGUAAGACCCCAGAGAAGUGAAGAUGUCUGGGGCCUCCCAGGCCUAUCACUUAGGGGUUCAAAUCUCUUUCAGGUGCUCCAUGUUUGCAGGGCGCUUGUGGUUGGGUACAGUCUGAUGAGUGUGGAGGAUGCUUGGUAGUUUUGGGUUCUGAUUUGUUUCCAAGAAAAAGGAAAUUGAGAAAGGAGUAAUGGUGGGGUGGGGUAAACCAAAAGAAAAGAAAGAAUGAGCAACAGAGACAUCCUGGAAGGGCUUACUGGGUGCUCAGUGUAUGUGGCUUUGACUGUGCUCCCAGGCCUUUGAGCCCUGGGCAGGAUGGCUGACACUCCCUGAAACACUGCUUCUUGUCCAGCCUGUGUCGAAGUCACCGCACACCUUCCCUGGGUGAACUUUAAGGGAGCCUUUUAGAAAAAGAGACUGGUAGAUCUGGGUGUAUGGGACAUCUGGCUUCUCUCAGCACACUCAUCCACUAUCUUUGAUUUUAGAAGUGCCAAUCUUUUAACUCUCAGGUAGAAGAGUAGAGGGAGGAAGUGAGAAAGAUACAUGCAUUUUAUUCACUUUCCCUUUUCCCAGCCAGUCUGUGCCAUGGUAUUGAGAGGGGCUUUAAAGUAUCCUGAGAAGUUUCUGAUACUAUCAAAAUGGGCCAAACACUUCUUAGACUUUGGUACUUACCUCUCCCUAAACUCUCUUUCUUCUCUCUCUCCCACACUGAAAGGUAAAUGACAGGCCAAUUGCAUUCACCUCAAAAUCUGGUUUGAGGAACUAGAAAGAAGUGAAAGCCUCCUGCAUCAACAGGACUAUUUGAUAUUUCAGAAUUACUAAAGAUCUCCUCCCCAGAUCGUUUAUUCCCUGCCAUCUUGGGGGGGGGGGGAGUUUCUUUUCUGACAGAUAGUUUGUUGAUUUCAAGAAGGUAUGUCGGUACUUCAGGAGACUGAAAUUUUCAAAACCUAGUUGUAUAUUUAAAAAAUUAAACAAAUUACCCAGUUGGAGCCUUUCACUGACCUUCACAGACGACUUGACAUCUCAAGUAUCUAUCAAUAUUGAUUUUCUUUUAACCUUCUCCCUUCUAAAGAAACUCAGUGACAGGUUGCAAAUCCUGGGCAGUUUAGGGAAAGGUUUCUUGGAGCUUAACAAAGCUGUCAUUUUCAAUACACCCGAUGACUUUUUUUUUUUUUUUAGCUCUUGCAUGUGAUUUGAGGGGAGGCUCAGCAACCACACACCCUGGCUGCAUCGCCAAUAUCAAUAUUUUAAAACUAAAUACAAAAGAGACAGAUGACCUCCUGACCCCAGGAAACAGGCCUGCAAGACUGCAAGUAUCCACCACACCAUGCCCAGGGACCUUUCCUUCUUCCAAAUGAACCACAAAAAUCAUACAUGUGUAGCCCGGAAAACACAAUUUUAUGUCCACAAGCAGGAACACCAAAAAUCCACUCAAAAACACAUAUAUAAACAACCAACAAGUACUGAGAUUGCCUGCACUUGAUGGGGAUUGCAAAAUCAUGCCCAGCUCUCUCAGCCCUGAAACUACUACUGUCAAAUUAGGGUAGCAAUUUUUCCCUCCUAGAAAAUUCACAACUGGUUAGCUCCCCCACCCCCUUUGCCGCUUUGCCUUUCACUGAAACGAAUAAAUAACCAUGGACUUUUCUUCCCUCCUCUGGGAGCUGUUUGGUGUCCCCUGAGGACAAAACUAAAUGAGAAAAAUGACGCUGUUAAUAAUGUCGCUGCUGAAAUGCCUGUACUCGACUGUUAAAAAAAAAAAAUACCAUCCCACUAAGUGUGCUUACAUUUCGGGCACAUUUACAAGCUACGACUGAAUCUGAACAGCGACUGGGCCAGAUUCCUCUAUUAAGGUUAGCCGGUUUCCACUUCUCUACAGAGAUGGGGCCAGUUCAUCAACAGAGGUUCCCAACUUCUGAAGACAUUUGCUCCCGGAUUACAAAGUCAGCAGGUGCCUGUAACUUUUGCGUGGUUUAUUUUAAACCUUGAAAAUCACGUCAAUUUGCUUCACUCACAACACUUCAAAAGUUACGUACGCUCUCAACACAGAGUGUCUCCUCUGUGAUACUGAGAGGGUUAUAGUUAUUGUCCUUUUUCAAAAUAGCUGACUUUUAAGUAAAACUAUACUAUCAUUUGAGUUCUAUGUAUAGACUUUUUUUUUUGUUACCCAUCUACAUACACUUUUUUGACAUAGAAACAGAUCGGUUUUAAGGAGAGGUUUAAAAAGCUUUAUCCAAAAUAGCCAAGUAGUCUUUAUAGUCUGUAUUAAGAAGUAUAGAAGGUGUAUUCAAACCAACUCAAACUUUCUGCACCCCUUUCUCUAAUUCGUCCUUUGAAACCUCCAUCCUGUUUCAAAAUCAAAAUAAUGCAUAACAACAGAACUGUGUGCAUUUUAACUUUCAAAUUAAAAUUUGACAAACAAUUGUGCAAUUACAAAGAGAAAAGACAAAACAAUUUGGCCUACACAAAAUAUAUGUCCAGUAAACCUUAUCUCUGAAAUAUUUUAACAACACAGCAUGUUAACAAAUUUCAAAGCAAUAAUAUUGUCAAAUUGUGUGAUGUCACAAACUCUAAAAACAAAGUUACAGAUGCUCAUGACAUCAUAUUCACUCAUAACUAUGCUGCUGCUCAGUCUGAUCAUAUUAAAAUUAAAUAGAUGUCUACGUCUGCUCAAGAAUAAAAGGAAUUUAUUUUGGACAUCGAACAAUGAAACUGUCACCAUUUAUUGUAUGAAACACUCAGCUAAUCAAUUUCCUAUUAAAACAGCUUUCAACAAUACUCAGCUUUAAAAUUCAUCGGGGCCAGUAAAAACCUUUUCCCAGUGCACAAGAAUGCAGUCCCAACCACGACGAUAAUUACCCUUCUAAUACUUUUAUUGCCCAAGCACUUUUUCCUGUGCUCCCCAUCAGUUAGGCGAGAAUCUGCAGUAUAUUGUAUCAGUGAGUUGGAGUGCUUGACCUUUGCGCACAUAUGAUUUAAUAGGGACUUUUCAGCGCUGGAGCUUUCUCCAUCUCUCAUACCAUUAAAUGAAAACAUCAAACCUCAAAUGUAAAACUGGAAACCACAACGUUUUGUGUUUCACAACUCUUUGCAGUUUUUACUUAGGCUGCUUAAAGGUCAGCUUCUUAGCCUCCCAGUUCUCUCCCCCAUAGAGUAAAGGUACUCAAAAGUCACACUAAUUCUGAUUUUGAUUAAAUCUUGGACUCCCCAGUCAGAUACACACAUGCACUCUGCUUAUUUACACGUGCAUUCUUUUUCUAACCACACAAGCGUGCGUGUAUGGUUUGCUGGAUUUAUUCCAUUUUAGAGCUGAUUUAAAUGUCUGUUCAAGUCUGGGUUCAAAUGUUAACUUUUUCCCGCCUGUUGGAAAAUUAAAAUUACAAAAGAUGGUGCUAUAAGAUUCAUUCAAAGAAAGUUAGAGUUAAUCUUGUGUAUUUUGGCGCCUUUUCCCUGCCAGCUACUGUACUGGAGGGGGGGGAGGGGGGGGAGGGGGGGAAGGGAGGGGCGGGACUUGGAGAUCUUGUCUGUCCCGUCUCAAGUUCAAUGGCAGUUCUUCUAACCGGAGGAGAAGAUGGCCAUGUUCACAGCCCUAAUAAUAAUUCCAAUCACACCACUUCGGCAUCUUGUGUCAAAGUCGAAACUGGCUUCCCCGCCCCCUUCAACCUGAAAGCUGCCAAGUCCUCACACACUCCGCAUUCAACCACAACUUAAUGGAUGGGAUAUUGUGCAUUAAAAUGUGUCCCAGACGUACUGGCGAAGAGAGCACAAGGGAAAAGGGAGGCGCACGCGCGCGCACACACUCCCACACACACACACACACACACACACACACACACACACACACACUUAGGCAGAGGGGCAAAAAAUCCUAGAGCAAAAACAGCGGGGCUUAAAAAAAAAGUACUAGGAGCGGGAAGAAAUCCAUCAUAAUCUUUUUUAAACGGGGAGGGAGGUGAAGAAGGAGGGCUAACAAUUCGAUCCUGCCACUUCAGGGACCAGGUGGGGGAUACUAAGCUUGGGAACAAAUAUUGAUUUUAAAAACAACACACCAAUCAGAGCUAAAUAAAUACUACUACCCUCACUUAUUUUUUAAAAGUGCACUUUUAAAUGAGAAUAUGUUACAAAGCCCAUAUUCACCUUAAAGCGAAGGAAAAGGACUGCAAAAAGAAUGGGCUACGGGGUACAACUAAAGUAUCACUUACAGUAAUUUUUCCAGCAUUAGGAGGAGGAGGAGAAAGAGGAGGAAAUAAGAAAUGAAGCAGGGAAAAGGCUACAUUUUACACUAUUUGGGCUGACAAUGUUAUCCAGUGAUUCCCACCAUCAAAGUGUGACACAUUAAUACUAAAGUUACUAAAGCUAUAAUAUAUAUUAUAUACAUGUAUGUGUAAUGAUACAUAUAGUAUAUAUAUGAUAUACAAAUGAUAUAUAUAUACACUAUAUAUAUAUAUAUAUAUAUAUACACUAUAUGUAUCAUUACACACACAUACACACACACACACAAUUGCUUUGGUCUAGGCUCAACCUGUAAAGCAGAAAUGACAUUUAGAUAAAACAGUCACUUCACAACGCACAUACAGGAAAAACAAAUUGUGUCUGGAGUGGAAGGGGGUGCAAGGGACGAACAAGACGAGCAAAUAAAACCCAUCAUUUCAAAGCCACAUACCAUUGCACUGUUUUGCAUUAAAUAAAAUGGAUCUUGAGUCUGCAACAGAACCCUGGGCCGUUGACUUCACGUGUCUCAGGUACAGAUUUGUGGAUUUUCUCAAGGGUUGUUUGGGUGUCGCUUUUUGUAUUUGGUUAAAAAAAAAAAAAGGCAAUCCUGGAGUAGUCUUUUAUUUUUUAAAUUAUUGUUUCUGCAAUGCCCCAAUUCUUGGCCUUAGAAGAAAAGGCGGUAAAAGUCAAGUCUAAAAGCAAGCAGCCCCCUCAGUCUGGAUAUCCAGUUUUCCUUCCUCUCACUUGCAGAAGACUGUUUCUCGUGGUUGACUUGAACGCCGUCCAGAGAGAGAGAGCGUGUGGUGUGUGUGUGUGUGUGUGUGUGUGUGUGUGUUUGGUGGGUUUUAUUGUUGUUUUAGCAGGGCUGCUCUAGAGGUGGGGGCAGCCUCCCCUCCCCGGCUUCGGGCGCGCUCCGCAGGGGCAGCGGGCGCGGCCGCGGGGUCGCGCGCUCGCCCCUUCCCCGCCCUUGGAUUGGCCUGGCCAGCAGCGGAGCUGCCCCGGAACCGCCACCCACCCGCGCACCCUUUCCGCGCCCGGGCCGCGCUCGUCCCGCCGCCGCCUCCCAGCCUUUUUCUUUCUCCGGCUCGCUGGCCGCGCGGCCCCGCCCCGCCCCGGCCGCCCCGGCGCGCGGGAAGCGCGGCUCUUCGCUUCCGCCUGGCGGCGGGAAGGAAGCCGAAAGGAGGAGCCGGGGGCGGGCGCGCGGCGAUGCAUAUUCAUCAGGGAGCCCGCGGCGGCGGAGGCGGGAGCGGGCCCGAGUGGGUGUGGCGGCCUGCGCGGCGCGGGCGCCCCUCGCGAGUGGCGGCUCUGCUCUUUGUGCGGCCCGGGAGGGGCAGGAGCGCGGGGAGGGCGGGCGAGGAGGGCGGCGCCGCCUGUCUGCGGGGCCGCGCCGCUCCGCGCGCCUUUGUGCUCCCGGGGUCACGGGGCCUCCCCGCCGGCUUGCGGGAGGGGAGAGCGGGGCCGAGCUGCCGCGCGAGAGUCUCCACCAAAUAACAGUGAUGAUUACGGAAUCGGUGUUACUCCCCUAUUUCCCGCCACGUUGCUCGGUCAACUUCGCAAGGCCGCGUUUGUUUCCGUGUGAGAGGAGUUCUGAAAUGUUCCUCCCGGUCAAGCGUUAUCAUUACAGCAAAACCACCAGAAGGAGAGCACUCUUGACUUCUAUUUAUAUGCAUCCAUGUGAAUGUCAAUAAUCUAGGGGUGGGUGGGAGAAAUAAUCAGCACCAAAGAAAUACACAACCCUUGGGUCCCUGGGAGUAAACGCUCUUGGUGAGGUUCGGUAGACAGUUCAUGUUCAUAAACAAAGUGGUUUUGAUCAGUAUUUUUCAGGUUAAAGGUACGUAGUGUUUCUGUGUAGUUUUUAAGUAAUCCGGUUAUUUUCAUUUUAGGCAUCUGUGGUGUGGUAAAAGAAUGCUUAACGGUGAGAUUAAAUUAUUAUGUAAUCCUGAUUUAAAAUCGAAGUAUUAGAAGUAAAAAUAUAACGUUAGCCCUAAAUUUACAUGGUACUAACCCACGUGUGUUUAGAAAAGAUUUUAUUACAGAGAUUUUGACUAAUUAUGUAAUUGCACAACAGACAAUAGCUUCAAAUAUCCUCUAAAAUCCCUGUUCAAUUAUGUGAUUACCAGUGGGACCGGAAUAGCUCCCGAUGAAUUGUUCUUAUCUUUCCACUAAAUGUGAGCAUGGCAGUAUUUUAAUCCCAGUUGUGUUUACCCUCAAAGUCCAAGAGAACUUAAACAACAUUGUGCAGGUUCUUAGUUUCUACAAUACACAUUAUGAAACAAGAAAGAUAUUUUGACCUCGUUAAAAAAAACCAGAUUUUUUUUUUUAAUAUCUGCAUGUAUAUAUACAGACACACUAUAUAAAUGUUUGGCUAUUUUCAAUGAUAGUAAGUGGAAAACUAGAAAUUAUUUUGACCCAUUUGGACUUCAGGAAAUGCCAAAUAUAAAAAUAGGUUAUUGGUUUAAUGGUUCCCAAUUUCUCCUCUGAAAAAAACUAACCCAGUAUGUAUCUAAACAGCUUUGGGAAGGGAGUUGAGGUUGGGGAUACCCGUAUGUACACAUACACAUGUGCAUGUAUAUAUCUCUACAUUCAGCUAUAACUUCCCAAGGAAAAUUAAUUUUUAACAUCUUUUUCCAAGAUAGGUAAUUUUAACCCCUCGGCUAGUGUACCUAUAACUCAGUCUGCUCAGGCAGUCAAUUCAAGUGUGUAACAAACAGAUCUGUUUCCAUUCUAGCAUUUCCUAAUAGUAGUUUCAUGGUUAAGUAAGUCACGUUUAGCACGAAGUAGCCAAAUAUGAAAUAUGAAAAUUCAAUGCAGCUAAACUUUAAAAAAUCAUUGAGAGUGCAAAGGGAGUGUUUAAAUGGGCAGUGUUACCAAAUUCUAAAACUUCUGUAAGUGUGCCUUAGAAAGUCUUUUGCAAUUAUUUGAAGUCCAUAGCGGAGUUAACCAAUCCUUCCCAUCAUCUAUUUCAUGCAAGGAAGAAAUUACAUUGCAGGAAGAAUCCAAUUUUGUUUAGGAAAUAUCCGAAGAUAUGAAAUGGAGAAAGGACUAAAAAAGGGGAAAGGGAAGGAUUCCACAUGCUUCUAGUGAUGAUUUGAAUGAAUCUGAAGUUAGUGUCACCUGUCAGAGGCUUUUUGCCUAAGCGUAUUAUUUAUAUUUAGUAAUAGAAUGUACCAUUGUAUGUCAUGUUCAGUCUUUCAUAGGUUAUCUUUUUUUAUUUGCGUGUCAUUUGUUUCUUCUGACCUGUGAAGUUUACAGUACUUACUCCUCUACUCAUUACCCCUGUUUGUCAAAUAUGUACACAUAUCAUAAUUAAAUGAUAUCCAGUGCUUAUGAAAUAAGGAUACUGAUUUUCAAUCAUGUCUUAAGAGAAAUCGGACUCACUAAUUUGUAAUCACCUCAACAGUUUGUUGCUCCUAAGUCUCUUAUUUGGCUAAUGAUAAUGGUCUUCUAACCUACAAUAUUGGUUGAAUUUCCAGUUUUCGUAUUUUGCAUUACAAACAGAUCUAGAGAAGUUAGGGAGUGCUUUUUUAAAAUUAAAGUUAUCUUGGUUAAAAACCUUGCCUAGAAUGUAAUUGAGGUUGACUAUCUUUUUAUAUUCAUUUUUUUUGGAAAUUAUAACUACUCACGUUUUAAACAUAAGGACUGUCCAAUGUUACAUAGGCGUUUUGGCCUUUUGACGCUCCUAACUGAAGUGAUUCCAGUAGAAAAGCUAAUUUUUUUGUGCCUUCAGUUGCAGGCACAAUCCAUUCCUUAGAACUUACUAGAAGAUUCGCAAGCACACUGACACUUUAGAUUUUCUGGUUCUUCUUAAAGCCAAUUAACUGGUAAUUCAGUUUCUGUAUGUGUUCUUCAAAUUAAGAAUUUUUUUAAAUGUACUACAACAUCUGCAUGUGUUUAUCUUUGAGAAUAAUCACUAUAUAAUUAUUUCUAAAAGCAUGCAUUAUUACAAUGCUUUAUGUCAUAAUUGAAGUAAUUCUUCUACCCUAUCUAAACCAGUAAUUUCCAGUCAUUACCCCAAAGGUGUUUAUUUUAUCUUACUUCUCUAUUUCUCAAAUAUGUAAGAAGUGUGCUUUUAUUUCUAUUUUCUUAUUUUCAAAGACACACACUAAUUUAUUAGAUUAUUGUAGUUAGUCUAUUAUUAUGCUAGCCUUUGCGCAAAUUUAUUUUAUAUAAUAAAGACAGUGGAAUAUUUAAGACACAAUACUAAAUAAAACACACUACCUUUUAAAACAAUUGGAUAAUAUUUUUAGAAUUUAAAAACUGCAUGAGGCAUAAACCUGUGUAAACAUUCAUAUUGCAUAUUGCGUCUAGGACAUAGUUUAAAAUAUUUCUUAAUUAUUUAAAAAUAUUUAGAGAGUCUUAAAAUAGGACAUUUAUAAAGUGCCAAGUUUUGGCAUUUUGUUGCGGUUCUAUAGAUGGGAGCUGUCUUUGUACAACUUUUACUGAGGGAAGGAGAAUGCACAUCUAGUACAUUGCUGUGUGAGAGGAAAACCCAAGUAUAAACCACAACCUUUGGUAACUAUUUCUAUUUUCCGUUGGUAUUAGCGGUCUUCAGCUAUCAUCCAGUAUGCCUCUUUGUUAGAUAUUGAUCAUAAGAAAUAAACACGGCAUCUUUCCCACAAGACAUACUUGCUCAUCAUAAGGAAUUAUAUCUGUGGAAAAGACUUCAAGAGAUUUCCAGAUAAGCCCUUGCAAUAGAGUCAAAACGCCACACUGGCCAGGAGAGACACACAGGUCAUUUUCUAACCAUUGAGAGUAUGGGUACAAAAAUAAAUAUAUACACACAGUGUUCCUUCUUUCACUAACUGCAUGCUGCACCUGUGCACACAUAUAUCUGAUGACAUCUGCUAACAUAAUAAAUCUCAAGUGGUUUGUGGUGUCAUCAAAACCUGAGAUGGUGGUAUGGCUCACAGCCUCCCCAACCCCAGGCUAUGGUCUUGUUAAAUUUCACAGGCUAAACAGAGACAGACUUAGACUCAUUCUGUACAUGAACCAGGGGUUUUCAAGAGCGGGUUAAGGUGGUUUACCAAGGCAAAAAAAAAAAAAGCCUCUAGAUAUGACUCAGUGUGAAAAAUUUGCUCUCUGAUUCAAUGGUGGUAAAUCAAGGAUGACUCCCAGCUUUGAAAAAAAAAAAAAAAAACAUUUUUAUCUCAAUUGUUCUGAAUUCUCAAUUCAAAGUGUCAACCUUUCCUAGCCCACUUCUGUUCUGAAGACUUACUUUAGGAAAGAAAAGCCAUGACAAUUACAUUCUUCAUAUCUUGCUUACCCACACUUUUAUACAACUUUAGUUUCAACCAUCAAAAUGCCCAUAAAAAGAAAACAAUAAACUUGAAUGAAUUUAGGCUGUAAUGAUGAUUAAAUUGAGCAAAGGAAACACAAGUGUUUUCGCAAAAAAUGUUCAGGGUAUUUUGUGCCAUAUGUAAGGUUUCUGAAACAACAGAAUUGCUAAGGUAUUUUUUUUUAACCAUUUUCAAAAAACAGAAGCAUCUGGCAAUCCAGAAAUCAGUGAGGCAACAGGAUGCAAGAAAGCGCUAGACAGUCUACUGAUCCUUCAAUAUAGUCCUGGCAAAGGACCAUCCUGUCUUUUGCUCAGUGGGCCAUUUUCAACAAGAAAACGAAUUUCAAGUCCCCUGCAUCCACACCCCGUGGCCACUUGUCCUCGGUGUCAAAGAUUCUUCUUGGCAUAUCUAGAACAUCCUGAUAUCAUUUCAAGUUGCCCCCUACUAAAGAAGAUCAAUGAUCACAUUUUGUGCCUUUCUUCCAUGACUGAGAAAGCCUAGAUGCAGCCUAGGGGCUAGAGGAAGAAUUCUUCUAUAAACGUGCACCACGUGCUUAGUAUGGGUCUCAACCCGGGGCUGGGUGCUACCAUCCAAAGAGGAGUACAUUUUUAAGGAUGUCUGCAUUUAUGAUACAAAGGCCUUCCAUCCAUUUGUCAUAAUAUUAUCUUCUAAAUUUGUUGAGAAAAGAGUAAACUUCCUGUGGGAUAUCUUGAAAGGCUUCAGACAAACACACUAAACAACGACCUUUGGUUUUUUGCUCACAUAACAGGUAGUUGAUGUGGGUUUGUAGAAUGAAAACAGUGUUGAUGGAAACCAAAGAAAAAUGUAAUUAGGGACGAUAAGUCAGGUGCCCUUCCCACCCCACCCACCCACUAAAAACAAAACAACCCCCCCCCCUGUAUAAUGUAUUCAGAAGCCAGACUAACAAAGUCAGGAAACUUUUGAUAUCACUAUUCUUCAUGAUAUGGGAAGUAUUUUUAUAACCAACAGGGGAAAGAAAGGAGGAACUAUGUUAGGUGGGAGAAUUCAGGCACAUAGGGUUUACCUAUGUGCAAUUAACACCACCCUCUUUUAGCAACUUACUGUUUAGCGAUGGUUAACAAUCAAAUACACAGGCAGGGUAGAAAUACAAGUUUCAAGAACAUACUUAAUAUCACUGCCUCUCUCUUUUUCUCUUCAUGUCUGGCCCCAUUCUGAGCUGCCCUCAAUAUUUCUUUGACCAUUAUCUUUUUAAUUUUUUGUGUGGCUAUGCGAACAGAGUAGAGACACUUUAUUUUUUUUUUAAUUUUUUAAAGAGUACACUUUAAGUGAACAAGGAACAAAAUACAAAUGACAUCCACCCACAGUCCCAUCGCCUAAAAAACCUGUUUCAUUUGCGCAUAUUCCAACCCAGCAUUUGCCUCUGUGCUCAUAUACUACUUGCACAGUCAUAAGGUUUUAAGGUAGAUAGAAUUUUAUAAUUCUUCCACUUAACCUUCCAUUGAUAUCAUUGAUAUUAGUGAAAGGGUGCAAAGUUGUAAAAUGCUAAAACUAGGAGAGACUUUGGGGAUUUUUAGACAAGAGACAAAGAAACAAAACUGACAGCAUCCUGUGGUUUGCCCUCUGAUCUUUUCAACACUGGGAUUCAUUUAAAAGGUUGGGGCAGAGUCUCUGCCCCCUUUAAGAUGGGGCUCAGUCUCCUGGGUUCCUUGUUUCAUUCCACCGGCCCUCUUUCCUCUUGUAGCUUCACCGGCUUGCCUCUUAUACCCCUGGCUUCGCAAGCCUUGAUCUAAACCGAAUGCUCUUCUUACAGAUGAGAAAAUCAAAAUGAGGUUCGGAGAGAUAAAGGGGCUUGGUGAAGGCUACUAAGCUAAUCAGCAGCCAUGCUGGCAUUGUAGAAGAGGCCCCUGAACUCUAAACAAGGCUCUUUUAUUAAUGUUUAUUUCAGAGCAUGUGGGCCAGCAGGGUUCUGAGCAUCAGCAGGAUAACCUCACCGGAACUACUGUGACCACAAGCGCCUUUAUAGACUUUAGAGAAAAGUCCCAGGUUAGCCACUCGCCACCUUUUAUGCUCCAGGUCACAAUUACCAUCUGAUGUCCACAAGCCUGAACCCCCAUAAAUCUUGGCCGUACUCACAGGGUUCUUUUUCUCGUUGAAAAGAAAAUAUCAGAAUGCAAGUGAGGGAAGCUGAUCACUUUAUAGAGAUAAAGUCAAAUCUGCUCUCAUUGAUAACGUAAGAUUAAAAAGUAAAAUACCUCAUAGAUAUGUCUAUCAGACAUAUCUCACAAAGGUGUGAUGUUGUACCAAUACCCUAGUAGACAACCACUCUUCUAGAAAAUAUAAAACCCCCGUAUCUGUACAGAGACUGUAUUUUCUGAAUGUUAAAUCAGGACACGAGGUAUAACUAAGAACUUUUUUUUUUUUUUUAAUGAAUUUAAGGUUUGGGCAAGUUUUACAAAAGUUUUUAAAAAUGAAUCAUUGUUAGCUAUGGUUUAAUGAGUGGGCUUUGUGGGAAAUAAUAAAAAGGUAUACCAUGUAAGAAUUCAUGAUGUCUAUGCCCAUGAGGGCAGUUCUUAGAAAUUCACUCAGAAAUAGGAUUGGAUUACAGUGACUGCCAUGUUGUCAUUGCUGUUUGUGUCCUGUGCACUUGGCACUUGCUUGUAGUGCUUUGUUCUUCAGACCAGACAUCCACUCUCUACGUUCUUCUCGCAAAUGGACAUCAGUGCAUGCCUCCCACGUACAACGUCACAGAGUCAAACUGGUAAAUAAUUGAGAAGUUCAUACAUUAUGUACGUGUUGAGUCUAUAGUUACUUUCUUGGCAGGCACAGGAGAGGCCCAUAUCCAAUCGGGCUCAAGACUCAUUCACAGAGGUGAUCUUAUUUGACCCUUCUUUGGCCAAAGCACCCUCUUAACCGAGCAGGGUGGGCACACUACUGUCCAUUUAGGGGGCCAGACUCUGUAUGCUAGGUUUCCUUGUGGUCCAGAUAUACAGUCUUCUUCUACAGUAUUUUAAAUGGCUCCUGACACGUUGGAUCUUCUCCUUUGCUGUGACCAACAGCAGCACCUUAAUUCAGCAAGGUCUCCCCUAGGACAAUGGUUUUCCCCAACCUUAGGUUAAAAUGAGUGUCAUAACAAAUGACAAUAAUUAUUACAUACUUAGGUCUACCUAUGGCUCUGCUCUGUGCUCAGUAUGUCAUAUAUUAUCUCAGCCCUUUUAAAGAUGAGGAGCCUGAGGCUCAGAGAGGUUAAGUAGCCGUGAAAGGUCACGGUGCUCCUAAUCCGGGUCUUUCUAAUUCCAAAGCCCAUGGCCAAAGCUGACCAGUACGUUCGGCAAAGACAUAGUGCAAGGUUGUAAUCACCCAGGUGAGUGUGGCCCCUUUAUAGGAGUUGCCUUGGAAGGCUUCGAGAGUAUUCCUUAAAGCAUUUUUAUUACUCUUCUUUUGAAAUUCCCUUUAGAACUUCAGGCAACAUUCUUUGAAAUAUUAUCGAUGGGAUAGAUCUUCUUCCUUUGAAUGUGGAUUUGAGUUUUGGAUAUAGCUAUGAUUCAUUCAGCACCCUGUGGUGAUUAAAGACCUUAUCAAGCUGGGUAAACCAGUUUGGGUCACAAACAAGGCAUGACAGAAUGUAACAAGAUUAUUUGCAAUCUCCAGCAUUUCUGAAGGAAUGGAAUAGAGGAGUGGAAGGGAAGAGACUUGGAUUUAGAGGCACCACGGUUCGGGGUACAAAUCCUGACUUAAUCACCCGGGAGCUAUGUGAUUCUGGGAAAGGCAUGUAAUGAUUCUUAGCCACGGUAGCCUUACCUCCAAAAAGAGCAUACCAAUCUAGAAUACUUGCUUCAGUGUUGUUUGGGGAUCAAAAAAUACCGCACGUCAAAAUAUGUCGGAAUGUGUCUGAAAUGCAGCCUUUCUCAAGAACUAUUUCCUGAAUCGGAUUAUCAGGUUACUUGUCUCUGUCCUUGUCCUUCAAAUGUGAUGAGAGGUGGUAAACAAGACUUAAUGUGGUCUGCGACGAUGACCAGACCUCAGGACCCCUCUCAGUGCCACUGGUCCUGGCAUAGAGCAGGUAUAUUUACCAUUAAAGAUGAAAAACCAGAAGGGAAGUCCCUAGUUUCCCGAUACUAAGGGACAUGGAUUUGAAGGAGGAUGGGGUGUAGUUUGCAGUUUGCGGGAGGCAGUUUCUAUCUCAAGCUUACUCCUAGACUCUCUCUAGAACAGUAGGAAACCUGAGAGCAGCUUCAGCAAGGGCCCUUUAUGAACUGCCUGCCCUAUGGCAGGUUCUGGCUCAAGGUGGGACAUGGGAUACCGCUCCUGUCCUCAAGAACAGUAUCCAAAGGGCUGCUUUAGUGACAGUCAUGGGAUAAUGCUACUCAAAUUAUAAGAAUUGGGAACACCUCAGAACCCAUUGACACAAACAGUGUUAUUCAUCUAUUGACUGAGAUGUUGUAACUCUUCAGGCAACAAAUAAGCCUGCUAUGUCCAGGAGGUGCCCAGUGAACAAAACAAACAAUAGUCUAGCAUAGAGGAAAGAGAGACAGGGAGAAGAAAAGACUGGAAUAGCUGACAGAAAUAGAAGCCUUGUGUAGUGCUGUUCUGAAUUCAUAGGCCUGCCAGGCUUCUUUGUGAGGUCAGAAGGAUGAUUUGAGAAUUCUAGAAAAUUCGCAGAGAGGUGUUUAUCAAAAGAUGGAAAAGAGGAGUGCCCAAGCUUUUUGCAACAUACAGUAAAUCAGGGAUAGCUAUCUAUUGAAAAUAGAGGAUGGGGGGGGGGCGGCCUCAGUGGCUCAGUUGGCUAAGCGUCCAACUCUUGGUUUCAGCUCAGGUCAUGAUCUUGUGGUUUGUGGGUUCAAGCUCUGCAUCAGGCUUCCUGAUAACCACAGGGCUUGCUUGGAAUUUUCUCUCUCCCUCUCUGUCUUUGGUCCUCCCCUGCUUGUAUGUGUGAGUGCAUGUUCUCUCUCUCUCUCUCUCUCUCUCUCUCUCUCUCUCUCUCUCUCUCUCAAAAAUAAAUGAAUAAACUUAAAAAAAAAAACGAAAAUAGGGGAAGGGAGCAGCCUCUGAGGAACUCUGUAGAGCUUUGGUCAACUGAUCUAGAGCUCUUCUACUCUAUCUUCUGCAGCGCCCUAAAGUACAGGUACAAUAUUGUUUCCAUUUUACAGAUGAGAAAACUAGAGUACAGGGAACUAAAUAACUUACCCAAGGUCAAUAGCUCCCAAGUGUCAGCAGCAGGAUUUGAAACUAGGUAGUGUGGCUCCAGACUCUUGGCUCUUAACCACCUUCAUGCAAACUUUCUCUUCUCCUCUGCAUGCCCAUCCCCAAUAAAGUAGCUUGGCCCAACCGUGAAAUCUCUCCUCCUUCCUGUAGGGUUCAUUCUAGGCCCCACAUCUCCCUAUCAGGGAGCCAUAAGUGUGGGCGACCUUAGCACAAGACUUAGUCACUAAGGAGAAAGGAAGUACUUCCGAAACCUUGGCCUGAUUCUUUAGAUCCGCCAAAGGUGAGAUCCAGUGACUACCCCUACCUCUCUUCCUGUGCUUUAAAAAAAAAAGAAAAUCAAAAAAUUAUUGUCCAAUCGUACAAUGGAACAUUAUAUAGCAACAAAAAGAACACACUUCUCCAUAGCAUGCGUGUAGAAAACUGCACAUCUUAAGUGUAUAGCUAAACAAUUUUCCCAUGUCACCACCAUCCGCGUUUAGAAAUGGAAAAUUACUGGCACUCCAGAAAUUCAGAAGCUACCCCAUCGUCCUUCCCAAAGGUAAUCACUGUCCCGAUUUCUAACAAUACAAAGUUAUAUUGUUUGUUUUGAACUUUAUAUAAAGGGAAACAUAUGAUAUUUGCCUUUUUAUGUCUGAAGUACUUUGUUCAACAUUUCAUGCAAUAUUCCUUCUUGCAGUUGCAGAUGACAAAGUUCUUUUUUUCCCACAUUGCAAUAUGGAUUCUAUUGUAUGAACACAACACAACUUAUCUACUCUAUACUUGACAGUCACUGGGUUGUUUCCACUUUGAAGCCAAUACAAAUAAUGGAAAAAUGAGCGGUCUCCUACGUGUGGUCCAGCAUCCAUAUGUAUGCAUUCUCUUGGGCAUAAACCUAGGAGUAGAAUUUUUGGGUUUUUAAGUAGCCUAUGAGAAAUUUUAGUAGAUAAUGACAAAUAGAUUUCUAAAGUGAUUGUAUGAGUGUGUAUGGGAGCAUAUGAGAGUUCUCGUUGUUUUACACUUUCAUCAACACUGUUUGGUCUUUUUCUAUUCUGGAGUAUAAUGAUAUCUCAAUUUGGUUUUAAUUUGCAAUCCCAUUUGACCGAUGAGGUUAGCUGCUUUUCAUCUGUUUAUUGGCCAUUUGGAUAGCCUCUUGUGAAAUGCUUGUUCAAAUAUUUUGCCCAUUUUUAGUUUGGCUUUCCUGGUUUUGGUUUUGUUGUGUUUUGUUUUUCUUCAUUGAUUUGUAGGUGCUCUUUAUAUAUUUGGGACAUGAGACCUUUGUCAGUUCUAUCUGGUGCUGAUUUCUCUCCCACUUUGCAGCUUGCAAUUUCACUCAUUUGAUGUCGCAAUGUCUUUGUGAGCUUUAAAAGCACAUUUUUAAGAGAAUGAUUGCCACACAAUACACUGUACAUAUUUAAGGUGUAUGAUUUGAUAAGUUUUAAAAUACAUGUACAUUAAUGAAACUAUCACCACAGUCAAGAUAAGAAAUAAUUCAGUCGCCUCCGGGAGGUUUUCUGUGCCUCUUGGCAAUCCCUCCCAACAGAUCUGCUUUCUCUCAUUAAAACUUGGUUUGCAUAGUUUAGAAUUUUAUGUAAAUGGAAUCACACAACAGGUACUCUCUUUUGUCUGGCUUCUUUCAUUCAGCAUAUUUUGACAUUUAUUCAUGUCCUUACUUGUAUCAAUAGUUCAUGUAUUUUUACUACCGAGUAAUAUUUCAUCGUGCGGUAUACCGUAAUUUAUUCAUCACCUGCUGAUGAGCAAUUGGACUGUUUACAAUUUGGGGCUAUUACAAAUAAAGCUGAUGUGAACAUUUCAUAUACAGGACUCGACAUAGACAUAAGCUUUCAAUUCUCUCAGGUAAAUACCUAAGAAUGACAUUUCUGGGCAUAUGGUAGGUAUCUCUUUAAGGUUUAACUUCUUAAGGAGCUGUCAAACGGUUACCCAGAGUGACUAUCAUCUCACAAUUCCAUCAGCAGUGUAUGAGAAUUCGAGUUCCUCCAAAUCCUCACCAACUUAAUAGGAUCAAGUCAUUUAAUUUUAGCCGUUCUAAUAGCUAUGUAGUAUGUGCCAUUAUCAUUUUAAUAUGUUUCCCUAAUACUUGUUUCCUUCAUGGCUUAUGGUGUUAAGCAUCUUUUUACAUGUGUGUUUAACAUUCUUGUAUCUGCUUAGGUAAAGCAUCUAGAUGUUCAGAUCUUUUGUUCGUUUUAAAAACUGAGGUGUUUGCAUUCUUACUGUUCCGUUAUUAUAGUUGGGGUUUUUGUUUUGUUUUGUUUUGUUUUGUUUUGCUUUGCUUUGCUUUGGUAUAGUGUGGAAACAAGUCCUUUCUCAGACAUUCGACUCACAAUAUUUUCUCCCAGACUGUGACUUUUCUUUUCAGUCUCUUGACCACAUCUUUUGAAGAGUAGAAUUUUUAAAUUUAGUUAAGUCAAAAUUAAGGAUCGUGCUUUUGGUUUUAUAUCUAAGACAUUUUGCCUAAUCCGACAGCACAAAGAUUUGUCCCCUUAUUUCUUUUGGAAUUUUUCUAAUUUUAUGCUUUCCAUUGAGGUCUAUAAUCUAUUUUGAGAUAAAUUUCAUAUAUCAAGUGCAAGGUAUAGAUUGAAAUUCAUUGUUUUCAUAUGGAUAUCCAAUUGUUCUGAUACCAUUUAUUGAAAAGACUUUUUUUUUUCUCCACUGAAUUGCCUUUAUACCUUUGCGGAAAGUCAUUUGUCCAUAUAUGUGUGGGUCUAUUCUAUUUCUUUGAUUGGUUUGCCUAUCUGGAGGCCAAUAACACACUAUCUUAGUUACUAUAACAUAAUAAUGUUUGAAUCAAGUAGUAUUAGCUCUCUGAAUUUGUUCUUUUAAAUAUUGUCUUUUAAUGAACUCUUCUGUUGUAUUGUUCUCUGGGCAAACUCUUCCGGUGCUUGGUUUGUUCUUUAACAAGUUUUCUCUAAGAAAUCUUGGAUCUACUCAGACACUUUUCCAGCUGGGAUAUCUGUACAUUUUAAGUCCAUCGUUCCUUUGGGCUUAAAGUUUAUUUUUAUUCAAAGAUCUUUUAUUAAAAUGCAUGUACCCCAAAGAGAGUGGGGUUGUGGUGGUAUUACUCCAAAAGUCAUCAGCUAUUAUGGUAACCGACAGCCAACUGACAAUCUGACUGUUUUGGAAAAAGACUCUACAGCCCGGCAGACCUCUUGGGGCUGGGGAAGACCAGGUGGAAGGUGGGAGAGAAAGGAGCUUCAGGUUUAUAGUAAUUCCUGUAAGUUACCAGGUAUCGUCCUGGCUGUUUUGCAUUUAGCGUCUUAUUUUACCCAAGAUCAUUGUAAUUUCCCUUCUCAGAAUACGCUGUAGAUCAGGGUCCUUUUCUAUAAAGGACUAAAUGUUUUAGGUGGGGCCAGCUUGACAUGGGGGUGAAUCUGUGCAUUCACACAGCAUGUAAAAUCAUUCAGAUUUUUGGCUUUGCGGGCCAUACAGGUAGUCUCUGAUGCCUCUACCCAACUCUUUCCGUGUUACACAAAAACAGCCAUCGAUGAUAUUUAAACACUGAGCCCGGCUGUGCUUCAAUAAACCUUUAUUUAUGGACACUGAAAUUUGAAUUUAAUAUUAUUUUUACAUAUCAUAAGAUAUCUGUCCUCUUGUUUUUUUUUUUUUUCUCAUUUAGAAACAUUGAAACCGUCCUCAGGUCCCAAGUCAUACACAAACAAGCAGUGAGUUCUAUCUGGCCCGUGGGUGUUAGGUCCCUUAGCCCUUCCCUAGAGAAACUCCACACAUGUGCAUCAAGUGACAUGCACAGGAAGUUCACAUCAAAAUUGCCCUUGAAUGCUCCAAACUAGAAACAACUGAAAGUCCCUGCAAAGGUAGAAUGGCUAAAUAUAUCGUAGUUUAUUUAUAUAUAACAUAUGGUUGAAAGAAAGAAGCAGGUCUUAAAAGAAUACAUACAGUAUGAUUUUAUUUAUAUAAAGUUCAAAAACAGACCUGCAUAAGUGCUAAAACUAAAAUAUAAAAAAAAUAAUAAUAAAGCAAGGAAAUGAUCACAGGAAAAAUCAGGAUGACGGUUACCUCUCUGGAGGGGAAGGUGAUGGGGAGGGGACUUCUGAGGCCUUAGCAAUGUUGCGUUUCUUGACCUGGGUCAUGUUUGCAUUGGUGUUUGCUUUAUAUUUAUUCUUUGAACUACACCUUUUAUGUGUCUACUCUGAAAUGUAUAUCUCAUCAUUUUUAAAUUUUCAGUUCCUAAUUCCAACCGGGAGUUGGCAUUUGGAGCCCCAUUUCAUAGUGAGGUUGGGGGAGGGGGGAAUCGCAUGCCCAGGCCACAUGUUUCCAACUUCCUAAAGCUCCUUUGAUAUAAUUUUGAAGACCUUUGGCAUCCAUCUGGCCCUGGGCUUCACAUUUGCCAAGAAGAGUCUUGGCUUUUAUAGCAUUCAAAUGUUUUUCUUCUCAGUUUACUUUUGUCUCAGAUAAUAAUGCUCUCUGCCAAAUUCCCUCAAGGUCAAAUCCACAUUAUUAUGGGUUCCAUUGUCUUGAAGCCUUUCUUGUUUGCAAAUUCCAUUUUUCCUAAUUUCAAAAUAUAAUUAUAAAUAAUUCAAUCACAUUGAAUUGGGCAGUGGAUGUGUAUACUGGCUACUUUCCCUUUAUCCCUCUGCUCCUCAGUGUUUAUUCUCUUCUUAAUAUUUCUACCUUCUGGCUGUCUAUGUGUGGCUGUAUGUUGUCAUUAACCAGGCAGGGCUGAAAUGAAAGAAAAGAAAAUAUGUAUCCAUGGUUGGAAAGGACAUGAGUUUAGGAGUAAACCUACGGCAGUUUGAACCUCUACUCAAUCUAUUGGCUGUGUGCUCACAGCCAGUGAUCUAGCCUCUCUGGGUCUUUUCUUUCACUAAUGGAACUAUGAGAGAGAGUCAUUGCAAGAAUUAGAUAUGUAAAGGUCAAGCAAGAAAACUUGUGAAAUGGACACAGUUCAACACCUUGCACUACAGCCACUUUAUGACUUGUGAUAGGGUGCAAUAAAUUUCAGUUCCCUUCCUUCCUUCCUUCCUUCCUUCCUUCCUUCCUUCCUUCCUUCCCUUCUUCCUUUUUCCAUUUUGCAAGAUUUUUCUGUCUGCCCUUGCCAACCAUGUUAAUCCAGCAAUUGCCUAAUGAGAGAAAAGGUUGGUAGUGAGUGGGUUGGGGACAGGAAAAAAAACAAAGGUGGAAAGAAACAUUCUACUCUAGAGCAUAGGAAAAGAGCUCGCAUUAUAUCUCUAUUUUAUUUGCCCAUCGCUCUUCAUACCCCUCAUCUGUCCGUGAAGUCAUGGGUCUCUAGACCCCUAGAAAUCCAAGAGCCUGGUAAAGCUGUUGUCAGAAUCUUUAUAGAGCCUAAGAGAACUCUACCCUGAUUUCAGGAAUAAAAAUUGCCUUCAAAUAGAUCACUUAGAACCUGUCUGGCAUAUUGUCUGGGCUGAGUAAGUGUUGGGUAUUAUUACUGCGAUUGUUGGUGUUACGAUUAUUAUUGCUCUUCAGGACAGCAUCUCAGUAUGCGCGACAGGAGUUGUGAGGCCAUCAGCUGCCUCGUUUGCCACACGCACACCCAAGUUACGACUGUUGUUUCUUUCAGCAUUUCUCAGUCUCCCCUGUCAUUUCCCUCCCCGAAACAUUUCAUUCUGCCUUUUCCAGAACAAACAUCAUUAUAAUCACUUCUUGUUCACAUCUCUGCUAUCCCCAUGGCUCUUGCUGCUCUCACUGGUAGUAGCAACACCUCUGAAUUUACUACCAUCUGCAAAUAUCAUUAGCUAUUGUUUAUUCCCUCUCCCACACUAUUAAUGAAGAUGUUAAUUAAGACCAGAACUAACACUGACCCCAGCAGCAAUCCACUAGACAUUUAUCCAACUGGAUAAACUUCUGUUAGUCAUUACCCACCGCUCAUAGACAUUACCACUCCUCCAUUCCCUUCAUCUGCUAAUUUGUAAGAGACCAGGGGAGAGAAUUAAGGGAGCCCAGUAUUAUUUAAAAAUUAACACUCUGAUACUUAGGGUUUUUGGAAAGGGAUUUGGUGGAACAUCAGAAGGAUGGUUGUCAGUAGUAUAUGCAUGAGUGAAGUGAGCCAGCAUCCCAAAGAAUUUGGUAAUUGCCUGGCUCAGCUUAUGGGUUUCUGAGAUUUCGUUUCAGCCACCUCCAUGUAAAGAUGAUCAGACUAAGGCCCAAAGACUUCUCCAAGAUCACUUCCCUCGUUAGUAAUAGAACCCACAUUGGAACUUGGGGCUCUCACUUCCAGUCCCACACUCCGGGUAGAAGCGAAGUUGAUCUCACUUCACAGACGGUCUGCUCAGACACCUGUGCAUCAGCAUUUGGCCACUAAAUCCUAAACUUGUGGAGUGGAACACAGUGGCCGUCAACUUCAUCCAUUUGGCUUCAGCAAACCACGUCGGGAAGGAGUUCUUUACGUAUUUUGUUCAAGGCAAGAGCAUUAUUCACCAUGAUGCUCUGUUCUCUCAACCUAUAAAUUAGUAGUUCUCGACCCUGGCUAAACAUUAGAAUCACCCAGGGCAGCUUUUAAAAAAUACCAAUGCCCACACCACAUCCCUAGAAAUUCAGAUUUAAUUGGAUUGAGGAGAGACCCAGGCACUGGUAAAUUUUUUUUUUAAGCUCCCCAGGUGAUAGUUGAGAGCCACCCCAGAGGAUAAAGUGUUUCUCCAAAGAGUCCUAAGUUGGGAGGCUGCUUGUUCUAUAGAAUAGGGUCAGUAUGGACCUGCUGUACCUUAGCGAAUGGGAACAAACCUUUCUCUUAAACAGGAAACUGACUGCUCUUCGAACGUUUUCCUUGCGAAGAAUGCAAAUUGCAUUACCAACUCAGAAUGACGUAAUUUGGAAUCUCGUAACCCGGUCGUGGUCAUUUACACCUGGCAAUUUUUCCAGACUUUAACUUUGUAGGCCGUACUGCCUACCUAAAAGCUCUCAGGCAGUCCCAAAGUGAGCUACUGGUUUAGUGUGAAAGCUGGCCCACUGGAAGCAAAGUCGAGCAAAGGACAGAGGACUUACCAGCGUUUGAAGGGUUUGCUCUUUAGACAUUAAUACCCGUUGUACCUGAUGCAGCAACAAAUGCCUUCCUGCCGCUGGUAUGGCAAUGGAGCCUUGGUGGAUGAAGAAUGUAGGUCAAAGACAAAACGAGGAAACAUCAUCUCAGGCUUCUGCCUGGACAAGAGCCCGAGAAGAAUAAAAGACAAGACUUUGGAAGACCUCAGAGGCUGCUAGUCUUCUGGCGUCUCACUUUGUGGCCUCUUCCAUUAUAGGGGAACAUCUCUACGUGACGAAUUGCCAGCAACACUCACACCUAUCAGAAUUGGGAGAUUCGCGGUGCUCAUGUUCCCUUGUGCAGGUUGUUCACUGCCCAAAGGUGCCUGGGACACGGGGGCUGAAAUGUGCAGUGAGAAGCAGUGCUUCCAGGAAGGACAAGAUGACUCUAUUUGUAGUUUACAGAAAGAUGCUGCCCGGAAAGUGGGAUCCCCGAAGAGGGAUAAAGACACAACAGUUUUCCACGUCCUUGUCAUAAGAAGCAGAGGCCUCGUGAUGAAAACAGGGAAGAAGAGAGAAGAGCAAAGAGAUGACCGAAAGUGUCAGGGUUCCCAGGGAUCGUCCACCCUCCCUGGUGCUCCAAUGCUCCAAUAUCAGUGCCUCUCGAUGGUCGUUAAGGCUGGGCUAAAACAGGAAAAUGUACAGGAAGCUGGUGAAAUGUGGAAAUGGAAUAUCUGUAGAAGAGACAAUAAGACCCAAGGAAAAAGGAAGUCUAAGGUGGGAACAUUUUUUUAUGUGCUCAUUCUCUCCUCAACUGAAGUUGGGGCCCCAGCCAUGGCUCACGGGCUUGCCCACUGCUGUGACAACCUGGUUCAGCUUCUGGGAAAGAGAAAGAAAGAGCAGGGAUCCCAGCAACAGUCACUGGUGGAGGGCCAGGACGGGCGCCUCCACCAGUGAAUGCUUCCAGAUGCACUGAAGUGUUGUCCCAAAACACGGCUCAAGAAACAGCUUAGGUAGAGAGUGACUCCUCUGGAGGAAAAAAAAAAAAAAAAAAUCAGUCAUUUUGACAAGGUCAAAAUACCAAGAAAACAGCAUUCCCAAUUGAGAAGUUACGGGUCAGGACCACACUCCAUUAGAAAAUGCUCUUUUCUGCUUCUCCCUCAGACAUUUUGGCUCUGACAUGAUUUUUAAUAAGUCCUCCCGAAUAGCAACUCUCUGGGCACAUGGUCUCAACUAAAAACAUGUAAGUGGUUGGGUUUGGGGUAAGGGUUCUCUCCCCUUACCCAUGACAAAAAGAAAGAGGAGGGGGUCAAAUAAUGGAGCUAAAUAAUCCCAUCUGAGAACAAAUGGUCCCAGGUGCUACUUGGGCACAGAGUUAGUGGGUUGUAGUGUUGUCUGCACUGUUCAGAGGGACUCAGAGGGAAGGGAAGUUCCCCUCAGGAUCUGAAAAUUGGGGCAAUUUGGAUGAUUUCCUCUUCGCUUGUACCUUGGAAAGGUAACCAGGGAGGAAGCCAGUGGAGUGAGAAGGAAGGAGGGAAGGAAGGAAGGAAGGAAGGAAGGAAGGAAGGAAGGAAGGAAGGAAGGAAGGAAGAGAAAGAAAGAAAGAAAGAAAGAAAGAAAGAAAGAAAGAAAGAAAGAAAGAAAGAAAGGGAAAGGAAGGAAGGAAGGAAGGAAAGAAGAAAAAGAAAGAGAAAGAAAGAAAGAAAGAAAGAAAGAAAGAAAGAAAGAGGAAGGAAGGAAGGAAGGAAGGAAAAGAAAGGAAGAAAGAAAGAAAGAAAGAAAGAAAGAAAGAAAGAAAGAAAAAAGAAGAAAGAAAGAGAAAGAAAGAAAGAGAGGAAGGAAGGAAGGAAGGAAGCAAGAGAAAGAAAAGAAAGAAAAAGAAAGAAGAAAGAAAUGAGGGAGGGAGGGAGGGAGGGAGGGAGGAAAUGAGGGAGAAAAGGUCUCAUUUACUGAGCACAGACAGCUUGCCCAGACGUCGCUUGGCUUUUCCAUAUAUGUGAUUCCACGUAAUCUCUAGAACAGCACUGUGGGGUAGGUAUAGCUGCUUAGUUAAUAAGUGGCCAGGUUGUAUCCCAUCCAGGUGUACCUGACUUCAAACUCCUUCCCUUUUCCUUUUAACGACUAGUGUCAGCCAACUAGACACACAUACAUGUACACCUGUGUUUAUGCAUGUGCACACGUGUGUUUUAUUCCUUAAGUGCUUCUUAAUCUUGCCCUAUCACCAAGCAACCAAACAAUGAGAGUAAAUUUCCUAUGUCUGUUUUUUCUGCUCUUCUCAGACUCUAAAUGGUUUUCCUCUCUUCAGAGUUACCACUAAUGUCGUUUUCAUCUGUCGUUGCCUGUAUCUUAUUGAAAAAAGGAGAAGAGGAGGGUGGGGCCGAGGGAGAUCAUUUGUCCUGGCUCUUUGGCUUAUUACUGGGCAUAGACUACUUUUGGGGGGUGUGGGUGGGGGAGGGGGGAUGCCCCCAUUUCGCCAACCCCAUACCACGCAGCUGUGGGAAUUCUCUCGUCUGCUUUAGAUAACAGUUCAGCCCUGUUUUGCCCACAACUUCUUGAGAGUUGAAGUCUCCUCCUUCACGGAGAAGACAACCAUCCUUGGAGAAGCUUCUUUUCAAGCAGCCAUUGUACAGUCCUCUGAAGGAGGGAUUGCAGACCUCGCCCCCAUGGCCAGGGGCCUCUACCUUUUUGGUUUUUCCCCCUGGGGAGAUGGGGAGGGGCUGGAGGUGGGAAUGUGUCUGAUGAGGCUGCAGCCUGCCUCCCGUGGGUCACCUGCUGCCCAGGGGAGGAGAGCCAUGGCCAGGUUUUCCCUGUGUCUCCCUGGAGCAGACACAGAUGCUUCAGGAGGAGAGACGCUAUCACAAAAGGGUUUAUCAGGAAGAAAAAAAAAAAAAAAACAUGUGAAAGGGGAUGGGGUGUUGGCAAGCAGGCUUGCUCCAAGCUCAGCCUCUGCUGUCUGUAGUCUCCAUUUAUUGAUUCUUUUCUUUCUCCACUCCCCACUUUCCAAGGGUUCAUAUUCACUCCACAGAGAAAAGCAAUCUCCAGGCAAAAAUGGUUACAGUAUUUUAUUAAAGUUUGGUAGAGAGGAGGGAAGAGGAAGGAAAAGGCUGGACUAGGGGGCACGGGGUGGGGGUGAGGGGGGUGAUAAUGUCUGCCUGAGAGCGAGGAAGAGAGAGGGAGAGAAAGGGAAGGCAGGCAUGCAUGAGAGUCUCAAGCAGCAGCCAAGAAGCAGAGAAAGGGCUGCUGGGGACAAGGAGGGGGGUGGUGUGCCAAAAGCCUUAUAGAAAAAGAGCAAAGAUCCGAACAGGAGGAAUGGUUAAAAACCGAAGUGCAAAUGGACCUUGGGAUCCUCCCUGGGAAGAGGGCUACAAGCAAAAUACAAGGCAGGAUGCCGGGACACCUCAGAGUAACACAAGUCCUGAGGAGGCAGUUUGGAGAGGCCACAGAAAUGGCCUAGCAAAUAAAGAAACAAAUGCCAGAGAAUGCUAAUAUGCUGAGGGCCUUUAAAGAGAGGGAGAGAAAGAGAGAGAGAGAGAAUGGAGGUCUGAGACACAGAGCGACAUCAAGUGAAAGCCGAAGCAGAGCAGAGACAGGGACAAAACACACUCACAUAGCCAGACCCCAAGAGAGGGACACGGAGAGAGUCACACACAGAGAAAGACAGACAGGGCUGGGGGUGGGGGGGGGGCGAUGGGAGUGGGGCGAGAGGGAAAGUCUCCAGCCAAAUGCGGGAGAUUUGGCAGGUGGACAGCAGCAGCCGGCCAGGCAGUCACUGCACUUGCUGCGUCUAGUCUAUUGUUGUCUGGAGGGGGGGAGAGGGAGUUGUUUGUUUGUUUUGUUGUUUGGCCUCUUUGUCUCUUUUGUUCCAAGCAGUUAGUUUGCUCCUUUCCCAGACACUGGGCUGAUGGAAGAGCUUUAUGGAUUUUUCUUAAAGGGACAGGAUUAGCUAGUUUACCAGUGUAGCAUUAGCGAUGCCUCAGUCCUAACCAGUUUCUACCUAACAGGCUAUAUAUAUAUAUAUCUGUACUAUUUUAAAAGAUCAGAGUAAGGAUGGAGAGUUAGUAUUUUUGCUGUUUUUGUGACUGGUUAACAAGAAUAAACGGGUCAAGUUCACCCUCCCCCCCCCCCCCCCCCUCCCCAAGCGUCCUCCUCCAGGGUUGCCAACACUGCCGGGGGAAGAAGGAAGGAAGGACAAAAAGAAGAAACCCCUACAAACCAAAGUAAAUGGAAACCAUACAUAAAUAGCUCCAAACAUUGGUACAUGUUCUACCCCUCUUUUUUUAACCUAGGCAUCAAGAUGAGAAAUACAAACUCAAGGCUUUAAAUAACCACCAGAAGAAGGGCUUUGAAGGGAUAGGGGUGACUGGGCCACAAGUCCCCUGACGCUCACCAGGCAGGCACGGAAGGCUCCCCCUGGCCUCACACCCAGACCUGUUUCCUGUAGGCCCUUCCCAGGCUCCAUCCCAGAGGACAGACACUGGGCUGGGGGCUUGGGGAGCCUGUUUUGGGUCACCCCUUGGGGCUUGGCCUUCCCGAAGGAAGGGACUGUUAACACACUCAGGGUGCCCUAUGCCGGUGGUGUCGGAGGGUAGAGAGUCACUCAGCUGACCUGAGAGCCGCUGCUUAUUUGUUUGAGGAGGGGUAGAGGAAAGGGGUAUCCCGCAAGCCUCUGACUUUUUUGUUUCCGCAGAGACUCCUAGCUUCGCGUCCUUCCUAGUAAUUUAAAUCAGUUUUGGUCUAAAGCAGACAGCUUCUGAAGGAAAUGAAAUUUCAACACACUCCCAAAUUCAUCCACGUUUGAUUUUGAAUUCCAUCUCUAGGCCUCCCUCCAAAAUAAUGCCCAGUCCUUUUUCUUCAUCCUAACGACGCUUUUCCCUUGCUUGCUUUAAAGUCUAGGAUGCUGGAGAUUAAAAAUCAUUACAUACAAUCCAAGGGCUCGAGGCCCUAGGAAGGGUUCAGAGGGGGUGGAGGUGGGAGAGGGAAGUGGGUGCUCCUUUGCCAACAGGAUCUUUUAUGUUAGAAGCAAACAGAUCCGGAGUGGACGCUUCUGCCCUGGAAAGUGCGGCUGCCGCAGUUGGAGGGUGCAGGCUGGCUCUGGGGGCAAAGCGGGCUGUCACCUCCGCCCCACCCUCUGGGAGUUCGGUACUUAAGAGGUACACAAUUCUGUCAGCCGCUGGGGUUUAGGGGUGGCAGGGUGAGGAGUUAAAAAGCAAGCUGCUUACACCUACAACUUAUCCACCGCCCCCCCCCACCAUAACUUUUCUCCUCUCGGCCACCGUCCCCCUCCUUUUUUCAAAGCUGCCAUAGGUGUCCCGGCCCUUCGUCGUUGCGAAGUUUUUGCUUCUGCUCAGGUGCCAUUUGAAGGGGCCGGGGAAGUCCCGCCUUUCCAGGGGAAAGGAGGAGGGGAUGCUGGGGGGGGGGGGGGGGGCGAGGAGAUGGGACCUUGGUUCCCGGCGGGCCCAGUCGGAGAGAGGCCUGUGGGAGGUGCGGCCGGAGGGAGCGAGGCAGCACGUGGGACACGUGUUUGCCCAGGGUUUGGAAAGAGAGGAUGUUGUGGGGCUCGGGUCUCCCGAGACUCCUGGGGGAGGGGGCAUUGGUAGGCAGCUUCGAUUUGGGUGGACGUCUGACGUCCCAGGUCGCACGAGGUAACCGAAAUCCUGCUAACCUUGAGCAUAGAACUUGAUUCGGAUCUGGGCACGCAGGCGCAGCCCCGCUCAACCCGUUAGCUCCCACGGACAUCGCUUAGGGGCAGGCAUCCUCGGUGGCCAACGACCUGAGGAGCACACCCGGCACGUGGAAGGAUCAAAGCAAAGUGCUGGCCAGGACCCUGGCGGGGUCAAGUCCGAUUCCAGAACCAGUCCAGCGGGGUUCAGGAAGGGCCCUGCAACCCCAGGCCCGUGAGUCCGCCCCGCGCCAUCCGAGGGGGAUUUCGUUUCUAUUCCCCGCACGUGUCCCAGCGGCGCACCAGGAGAUCCAGUUUCGCCGGAACGUUCCCGUUGACUUGUUGGUUUGAAAGUUGAGGCCCCGGGGUGGUAAGGCUGGCCACAAAAAUUUCAAACCCCGCUAAUCCUAGACAAAAUAAAAACACAAUAGGCCACAAACCAACCAACUUGGGGCACAUUCUGUGGUGGUCUCCUGGCUGGGCACAUGGAACUGCGCAACCUGGAGGGAGUGAACCUUUCUACUUCUAAUGCCCAGUGUUGUGUGGGAAGACCUCAGGAUGGAGUUACAGCCGGGUCCCCCGUCCACCGCAUGCGCCCGUCUUCUAAAGAAGAAUGAAAACAACCCCCCAAACCGGCCGCAUCCAAAGCUCCGCGGGGUGGGGGGCAAGGGGCGCCGGAAGCUUGCCUAGAGCCCGAGCUUUGGCACGAAUUUGCCUCCCACCGAGACGCAGGGUCUCCCAGGGAGACGGAACCCAGCCGGAGAAAUCGCGGCCUGGGAGCCCCUGGCCCCCACUGGGGAGCCAACCCGCCCAGCGCGAAGAGUGCGUCCCCCGAUCCCCACGCCGGGGAACUGCAAGGCAGGAGGACGCUCAAGGCUCCAGCAGGGUGGAAUCCUAGAGACAAAAAAAAAAUCUGAAAAGAAAAAAAUAAAUAAAUUUGAACAAAACUAAACUACAAACCCGCUGGUCCCCGCCGAAAGCGAGGUGGGGGAGGAGGGGGCGGGAACGGCCGAGGCGCAGAGAGUGGGGGAUGCGAAACGAACUCCGUCCCCUGCAGAGUCGGUGCCUUCGGGGGCUCCAGCACCGCGCGCUCCCGCCGGCAAGGUUUGGACUCACGGGGGAGGGGGAGGCUGGGAGGGAGAGGAGAGAAGAAGGAUAGGUGGGGGGGGAGAAGGGAGGUGGUGGUUCUUUUUCUCCUCCAGCCAGCGCCAGCCGAGGCGAACUUGCGGUGGCGGAGCUCGAGAAAACUUUGGAAAGUUUCGGGAGCGCGGUUAGUGGUGGAGGCGCAGGGCAAAGAAGCAAUGCUGGGGUGGGCGCUGGGGAGCGGACGGGGUGCUCCUGGGAGGCCAGGUCCUGGGGUGGUUAAAGAUCCAAGCAUCCUGGGUCAGGUCCGCCCCCGGCCGCAGAGGCUUCGAGGCGCUGACUGCGGGACGUUUCCUUAAGAGAUGGACAAGACAAGACCGCGGGUUCGGCGGUCUCUGCCAGUGCGGAAAGCACUGCAGGGCGACGGCUCGGAGCAACAGCGGGAAAGGCUCGUCUGCCAAGGCGGGAUUAGAUCCUCCCGCCCAGGGGCCCCGUCCCCCAUCUUCCCCCGCCCAGCGAGGGCCGCGCGCGCCAGGGAUCUUUGGGGCGACGCGCGCCGUUUCGAGUCGCGCUUCGGCUCUCCGCGCACCACGUGCGCCCACGGCCUCAGGCGGGGAUGUUUGGGCCAGUGCCUCUGAAAGAGAGGGGGCCACGCAGCCAAGACCAGGCUUCGGCCACGUUCGGCCCGCGCACCCUUGCUGGGGGCAGGAUAAAAUGGCCCAACCCAACUUUUCCCUGCGCCCUGGGAAGGAAGCGUGGUGCGCCCGCUGGAGCGCGAGGCCGCCGCCGCCCGUUCCACACGCGGCCUGGCUUUCUGCUUUUCCUCACUGCGCACCAGGGAAAGGCAGAAUUCAAUGAUAUCAUCCAAGUGUCACGCAGUCUUUUCCUCUUUUCCUCUGGAGCCUAGUGUAUUUCGAAGGGGUAUCUCCCAAUUCUCAAAUAAAUGUCUUUCUCUCUAAAGCCUGGCUGGGUUCUGUAGUAACCAUUGAGGCGAAAAUGACCACACACACACACAAAGAAAGAAAGAAAAGAAAAAAGAAAAGGGAAGAAAAGAAAAGGAAAGAAAAGGAAAGAAAGAAAAGAAAAUUAAAGAAAAAGAAAGAAAGGAAAGGAGAGGAAAGGGGGAAAAACCCAAUCAGUUGUGAGUUUACAGCCUGAAGCGGCUUAUUUGGGCCCAUUGAACUCCAUUCCAGACCGCGCAGCUCACCCUAUUCGGGGAGAAGCUGGAGAAUGGAGACAAAACAAGGUUAUUUAAAGUGACUCCCGGAACGCGACUUCCCUUCCAAAACUCCUUAGGUGUCUGCUUCAGGGCUCCAGCUUAGCGCGGCCCGGGCAACCCAGCCUCGGAUGUUUAAACCGGGCCAACCCCCGGGUGAAACUACCUGUUGGGAGAAUGCGCAGUCUAGACUUUCGGCCCUCUUUUCUCCCGCGCAAUCCCCGCAGCGACGGGAUGGUUCUGGGUUUGGCAGGACUGGGGAGAGGACAGAAGAGCCGGGAGCAGCGGACAAACUCAGCAGCUCCUGGCUCUACCCAGCGUGCUGCGGGGGCUCUUUGGAAAGUGGAAGCAGUCCCUAGAACGCUGUGCGGGGCCCUUGGCUGCAGGGAUGCCCCCAAACUCUCACGAUUCUCGUAAUUCGGAAACCACGAAGCGGUGCGGUUCGUGCCGGCUUGGUGCAAGUCUAACUUAAACACACACACACACACACACACACACACACACACACACCACACACACACAAAGCCUCCUGGCGGCUUCCUCGGCGCGCACCCCCACCCCGCACUCCAACAGCCCACACUUUUCCCUGCACCGAAAUUCACUUUACUACUUAAAAUUCGGAAAACUCCGCCGCCGCUUGGACGCGCGGCAACCCAGAGGCUGCUUAAAGCUCUUGCACGAGUUGCUUGAGGGAGAUCACUCUGCUCUUGCGAGCACACAGAAUCUCUGUAUCUUAAAACAGCCUAACCCGACGAGGAAGCAGAGUUAGCGGUGACAAUCUGAGUAGUCUUUGCAGCCCGUUGGGGGAAUUUUCGGAGCCUGGGGGACAGCGGGCUUGUCUCGCUGGAACCGGUGGGAAGGACGGUUCCGGCCGGGCCCUGGGGCUGGAAGUCUCAUUUGGGGAGCGCACAGCCCGGGUUUGGCGCGCGCGUUUAAUUACGUUCUUUAGGGCAAACUCUCCCGCACAGCCUGCGCCGACAUUACUUCUGGGGGGAUGUGGAGGCACAGGCUGGACUAAGCCGGGAAAUCCCCCCUUCCCCAGACUCGGAAACCACUCCGCAUUUUGUCUCCGAUGCGGGUUUCUGCUCUUUGAUAGCGAACUGCACUCAAUGUGGGGAGCAGUGGGACUUGGGAGAGGCCCUACCGACGGGCCCGUUUGGGGUCCGAGGGUAGGGAAACUCUUUCUCCGUGAUUGGGGGUACGGCGGCGCUUUAUUUCUCGGGGCAUGCGCUCACAUUUUCCACGGUCGCAACGCACUCGGCUUAAAACGAAAUGGGGACAAAUAUGAGGCCACUGCAGGGAAGGAGGGGGGUAAGCCUCAUCUUGCUUAGGAUACUCGUUCUGACAGCGAAAACUGCCGGGCUGCGCCGAAGAGCGAGAAUUUAUUAAUGAGAAUUUAUUGCACAGGAACGAGAGUUGAGACUUCGAGCUAAAAGACGGCUCAGGACGCUUCCCGCGCGGCAGUCUUUUAUGAUCCUGCCGCAUUAGUCUGUUCUGCCCCUAAGUCACACCCCUAUUCCCAGUCUUAAGUGGCAUUUCCCUUCCCAGUGUGCCUCUUUCCUGUGCCCACUCGUCCGGGGCUUCGUGUUGCCCAGGACCUCUCGGCGUCUGGAAAAACUCUCGCAAACUUGUCCUUCGCCCAGUGCGUAUGCGCGGGUGGGCUCUCCCCGCGCCGCCGCGCCGCAGCCCCGGACCCUCCGGGGCCUGGGAAACCCGGUGCAUUUUCCAGCGCUCAGCCUCUGCGCUCCUGUUUUAUUUCAGUUCAAUCCCAGGGGCACGGACCCAAGGAUAAUAAACAAUGCUGCUUAUUAGAGAUACAAACGGGCGCAGAAAAGAACCACGCGGAAAAGCAAGCACAGAGACAUUUUAACAAGUGGCCAUGCAUUCAGAACUGUCUUUGAAAGUGACUUGUAAUGUACAAUGGGAGGGAGCGCCUCUCCAAAAUUACAGAAAUUCUCAGAAUGUAGGUUUGUCAAAGGAUGAUGGCCGGAGCUAUUUUUAUUUAUUUGGUUUUGCCUCUGGAAAUCAGGCGGAGUUGUUGCUACCUGCCCAAGCCUCUCUACAAGCCGCCUCCCCCUCCCUUAUCCCCCUCUUAGAUCGCUAGGCCUCACACACAAAAAAGGGAGGGGUCUUCCAGGUGUGGGCAUCCUUUGCUACCGUUAUUUCAGAUCCCUCAAGGGUUGAAAACACUGCCUCCCCUUUAGGCAGUGACAACACGGGCUUUGGGGGAAGAUGUCAUCGUAACGGGUGUGGUCAACUAAUUCAGAGAUAUGGGGGAUUUUUUUUUUUUUUGUAUAUAUAUAAACGCAGAUACCUUGUGAGUGUUGACCCUGAGAGUGGAGGCUGGUGAUUCCUCCUGAGGUGCGGGUGAAACCGAUUUCUGCCCUGCCUGAUGGCCUUGGGAAAGGGCCUCCCAUCUGCUCUGAUCGCCUCCACCCCUUCCAAUGUCAGAAAACCUUCCUGCCUGCAAAUAUUGGCACUUCGCUACUACUGACAGGCGGUGCUGCUUUAAAUAGGAAGAAGACCGCGGGGCGAAAAGAAAGUCACAACCUUCCUACCCACCAGACUACCUGCCUCCGGUCCCCAAAGGCCAAGCGCUGGCAAAAGAGACUUACAGGGAAAACCUCCGAUUUCGGAGCUGGAUGGGAAAUGAAUCAGUUGUGUGUUCCAGGAACAAAAUCUCUCUUUGAUUCUCAGGAACUGGGGGGCCCCGGAACAGGUCUCCCCUGUUUCAGUGCCCGAGCGCCUGCACUUCCUAUGACCCUGUCUCUCCACUUUUCCAUUGUUGUUGUUCAGAUAAAGGUAAAGGCUGGGGGAGCUUCAGCGGUGCUUCAGUUCAGUCCGCCUGGGCAGCAAGUUCCUCUUGACUUUAUCCAGAGUGCGGCUGUGCUUCUGGCGGUGCCAGGGGUGGGUCUGGUCUCACCACAGCUAGCCCCGCACCCCACACAGAACUCUCAGCCUCUGGACCUGCCUGGGGCUGGCUCUGGCUGGGUCUGGGGCCUCUCUUUUGAAAUGCACCCCUCUGCCAAGCAGGGGCAUCUCCUUGGAAAUGAUCAUGGGGCCAACUGCACCUGAGGAAUAGCCCAAACCUUCCCUCCCCAGCUCCUACCUAAGUUGCUGGCUUUACGUAGCGUUCAUGAAUUUUUGUUUCCUAACUUCAAUUCUGAAUGAUCUUCAGAACUAUUGAGCUGUCUACCUUAGAGGCCAGCUUCUCCUAGGAAGGGAAGGGUUUGUGCCCGAUGAGUUCAAGCUUGAGAGGCUGGCCUCUGCACAACUGUGGCUGCAUUUUAGAGGGGGCCUCAGGCAUUUUGGGUGCUGGACUUCUUCCCACCGUUUUCCGAUUCAAUUGGACGGUGCCUAGUAACUUUAUAGAGAAGGAAACUGAGGCACAGAGAAGGGACUGGGCUUACCAAGGGCAUACAGUGAACUGAGAGCAGAGUCUGCACCAGACCCCAGGUUUCCUGAUUUGAAGUCCGUUUGCCCCAGUUUUGAGGCUGGUGUAGCUAACAAGACACUACUGUUCAGGAAACAUCCACUGUGUGCCAGACCACUUAUUGUGCCAGACGCUUUACCUAGGUUGUCAUUACAGUAACCCUAAAGAGCAUUAUUAACCCCAAUAAAAAUUUGUAAAAAUUAUAAGAGUAACAUAUGCAUAAAUCAAAAUAUUUCAAAUAAUCCAAAAGGGCAUAAACUGAAAGUAAGUCUCUUCCUCUGCCCCCUCUUCCAGAAUAAUGCUGAUAUUUUUCAUUUCUUUAGUGGCUCUGUCCUUAUCUAAUAGACGUCACCGUUACCUUCUGAGUGAGGAGAGGGAGUGUCCCAAUCAGGAUAACCAGCUGUGGCUACCUGUCUCAGACCCAGCACCACCAUGACUGUCUACCUUAGGGAAGGUGAGGAGUGGGGAGAGACAGGGAGCGAGGCCACAGAUAAGAAGGCUCAAGUCAGAGUUCAUGUCACCCCUUCCUCUCCUCUCCACCUGCACCUGCUAAUGCUACAGUUUUCCGGGAGCUGAGACCAUAAGCUCUCUCGGUGCAGGUAACCUGAUGGCCAUUUGUGAGGGCUGCAUUCCUUCCAGGCCUCAUUGCAAAUGGACAAACAGCUUUCCUUGUGUCCCUGUCACCUAGCUGCUGUCACCCCAGUGCUGCCCGCAGCCUGUGCUAGCUCUGUCUGGGACUGGGGCAAGCUUCUUCAGCUUCAGAUUUCCCUGCCUGUUGCUCGGGGUUGUUGGGAGGCUCAAAUGAGAGACGGGGUGACAGGGGGUGGGAGGGGGGGGGGGUGGACUGUAAACUUGAAAUCUCUUUAUGUAAAUAGAGUCGCUGCUUUUCAAAGGUCUGGUUAGGACCCUGUGGCCCUUCAGUUCAAGAUGGUGAAUGUCCAGGGUUGUUUGCAAAAGGGUGUGCUUGGGGGAUAUGGGGAUUUGCCUUUGGGUGUUGUGCAUAUAGGAGCAGGUAUAGAAGUACAUCUUAAAGUGGAGGGGUUGUUCAUUUUUCCGUGAAACAUGGGAACACUGAGUCUUUGGGAUCAGGGGCUGCGGUGAAUAUGAAGAUUUCCUUCUGCGGGAGAACGCAGACAGCCAAGUUGGUGAGGGCAGAAGGAGGCACUUCCCGGCUUGGGGUGCACAGUGGGUGGGUAAGAAGCAUGGCUGAAGGGAUGAUUCAGCCUGUCCCUUUGGGUAGAUGUCCCCCACCAAAGGCUGAUGUUAGACGUUCAGGAGCAGAGAGGGUGAACGCUGGUAUAAGCUUCCCAGAACCGAUCAUUUCAUUGUUUGCAACUAUUUUUGUGAGUGGAAAGGAGAGGGAUUUUAGAGGAUGCAUGUGAUAAUUCUUUCAGGAAAAGCUAGUCCUGUCCUCGAGAGUUCCUCAUUCUGGAAGAAUUGCUAGAAAAUCCUGAAUUGGUGGCGGAGGGCAGCGGGGAGGGGGCUCCAAGUGAGAGCAAGUGACGGGCCCUGGCCGUGGGCUCCUCCAGAAGAGGAGCAGCUGGGGAGGGGCUGGUGUCUCUGAAAAGCGCUUCUAGAAACAUGCACAAGACCCUGCAGCAUGCACAGAUCUGAGAUGGUACAGAGGGAGAGUGUGAGCGUCCAGGAGGAAGAAAAAAACGGUUUUAAGAUGAAUGAGGGGGGUUGGGGAGUGGGCUGGUUCCAGAGAGAAACCGUGAAAGGAGGGAAAGUCAGAUUUUUUUUUUUUUUGAGGCCCAGCCAGACUUCAGACUUCAGAGAGCCUGCCUUCAAUGCCUGUGUCAGGACAAAGGAGGCUGCGCCCCCUGGUGUCAGACUGGCAGUCAGCACAGCUCGCUGCGGCAGAAACCUGAGGGUGGGGAAACCAGGGUCCAGCCAGAAAAGUCCACGGGUCGGUCAGAUGCCUUUUCUUCUGUUUGCUAAGGGAGUGGAAGUUGAAAUAGCCUUUGCUUUCUCAGAUCUGGGGUCUAAAUCGAGACUGUUUCAGAGAAGGAGGAUUUUUGUUGUUUUACAUGCAAGUUAAGUCAACAGGACAGUACCUGUUUCAAAGUAGCCUGGUGGGGUAGGAAGUCCACUGACCGGAGAGAAAAGACGUGCAUUUGAGGAAGAGUGUUGGUCUGGGGCGAGUCAUUAAAUAUUUCAGAGCCUCCCUUUCCUUGGCUUAGAACCAAAGGGGUUAGACUAAGAUGGCUUUUAAAGUUUUUCUCAAGCUCUAUCCAAUAUUGGGAUUUAUUCAUCGCCACACUCUUAUUCUCCGAGAACCUCGAAAUUUGGACCUCAUUAUUUUUCUUUUUCUUAUGGGCAUGCAGGUACAAAUGUUUCAGCAUGAGCUCCCUGAUUCUGAGCAAAGGUGUUUGUGUCCCCUUUUCUUUUAAAACGGCAAAAUAUGCCUCUUUUCAGCACGGAAGCCAUCCCUUCACCCUUUAUGGAGCCUCCUGCAAAAAGCAACAGAGUGAGGUCUCCAGUCUCUGCUCUGCUUCUUUUAAAACUAAAGUAGGAAAGUGUCGUGCUGGAAAUUAUGCCACUGAGUGUUACAUGUGGUAGGUGUGAAUAUAUGCUUCAACAGUUCCAGGCAUGAGACCAAAAACGUCCCCAGAAUUAGCAGAGUUUUCAGCUAUGAUCUGGCUAACAUUUCUACGAAUAGGUACAAAGACCAAUUUGAGAGUAUGUUCUCUCUAAGGGGCUGUCUGGUUGGGAUUCCGCUGGAAUUUAAGGCCAUCCCUUGGACGGUCAGGUGAUUUUAGCGCGAUCAGCCCCAGGAAAACUGCGGUAGGGGCUCAGAGUCCGCUCUCCUAAAACCCGCAAGUCGAAUCACUGCGAUGAGCGGUCAUUUGUACCUCACGGCAAUUGACUUCUUCCUUCUACACCGCACUUGAACUCUUAUCUCUGCCUAGUGGCUACCUUUGCUUUUUGCUUUUAAGCCACGGAUCGCAGGCCCGCGGAGAGGAUCACUUGGGUAGUCUUGCGGACGUGGAGGGUGCGCGAGGCCAUUGUCCUGCACCCCGCAGGGUCACUACUCCAUACACUACACGAGAGAACCGGUUCCUCCGUAAGGGAGAGGGGAUCAGGAGGAAGAGAAGCAGUACAACCGGAUGAGCCAUGGCAAGGGUUGGGGGCCAGAGACUCGGAGCACGGUGCUUCUCUGAAGUGAACAGCUGCAUUGUGGGCCGCGUCGACCUCCAAAGUUCAUAGGUUGAAGGCCUAGCCGCCGGGACUGCGGGCUACGACUGCAUGUGGACAUAGGGCCUUCAAAGAUGCUCUUAAGUGAAAAGGAGGCCGUUAGGGCAGCUCUAACUGGUGUGACCGGGGAAGUCCUCGUAAGAAGAGGAGAUUAGGACAACAGCCAGGUGCUGUGGGAAGACCACACGAAGACACUCCAAGAAGGCGGCCGCCUGUGGGUGGGCAAGCCAAGGGACGGCGCCUGGAAGAAAGGGACUCUACCGACACCUUGUUCUCAGACUUCUGGCCCCCAGACUUGCGAGGAAAUAAAUUCCUGUCUUCUAUGCCACUCAGUCUAUGGUACUUUGUCACGGUGGCCCUAGCAAAUGACUCUAGGUCGUAACUUGGCGCCCGCCAAUCUUGUGGACCCAUUCAGGGAUGCAGCCCGGAGUCACCGAUGUUUUUAGUGUUUAAGAGAGGUUAAGAAUCUUUUGCUUUUGAAACGUUGGGAGCAGGGUGCAUUUCACGAACACGCAACCGGCGCGGUCACGCGGCACCCCACGCUUGGCCCAGGAAGGGCCAGGUGCUCUGGCUGAAUGUUCUGCUAUGGCCAUGUGGAAAUUCGUGGAUUUGAAGAAGGGCCUGCAUUUUUGUGUUGCAUGGGGCGCAACAAACCACGCGGUUAGUCCUUGUUGACAGCUAACACAAACUUAAAAUACAGUGCUGGUUAAGAGUAUGAGGGCCGAAACAAAAUAGGUCCGAGGCUGGGUGUAGCGUGGGACACUGGUAAGAACUUUGUGUCACCAGUUGGAUACAGAGAAUCCUUCCAGUCUCUGGGGCACCUGGGCGGCUCACUCGGUGACCCUUGAUGUUGUCUCAAGUCAUGAUUCAUGGGAUCGAGCCCCAUGUCGGGCUCUGUGCCGACAAUGUGGAGCCUUCGUGGGAUUCUCUCUCUCCCUCUCUCUCUGCCCUUCCCCCCCCACUCAUGUGCUCUCUUUCUCUCUAAAAUAAAUAAAUAUUAGGGGGCACCUGGGCAGCUCAGUCGGUUAAGCAUCUGACUUUGGCUCAGGUCAUGAUCUCACGGUUUGUGAGUUCGAGCCCCACGUAGGGCUCUGUGCUGACAGCUCUGCUCUCUGCCCCUCCCCCCGAUUGUGCUCUGUCUCUCUCUCUCUCUGUCUCUCAAAAAUAAAUAAAUAUUUUAAAAAAUUUUAAUAAAUGACCCCAAAAAAGUCCUCCCAUUUCUCUGAGAACCCCUGGGGAAGAAUUUAUGGGACCCAGAGAUUUUCUGGGGGUGGGAGGAAAGGCACAGAUAUUCUGCAGGUUUGAUUCCCUGGGAUUCUGCAUGAGCUAGUGUGGCCCUAAGAUCCCGCCCCUCCCUUCCCCCCCCCCCCCCCCCCCCCCCCCCCCCCCCGCCCCAGGGAUGGGCAGUGAGAACUUCACAAUAGGAAUACUUUGAGGAAAGGCCCAACAUAAGGAGCUAAAUGUUUGGUUUGGGGGAGGGGGCUGGGUUGGGCCCUGCGUACGGCUGAUGCUGGAAGCUUUUCCAGAGUCAUCCAUCCAGGCACUGGAGUUGGGCUUUGGAAACCGCGUAUGCUUGUUCCCCAGUAUGAACAGUAGGACUCUGAGGGGCAGUGCAGCCCAAUGUCAAGGCAGCAUGGAGACACGGCGGUGAGAGAGGAACAGCGGUGAGAGAGGACUGGCUAGACUCCAGCUUCCUGCCUGUGGUGUGUGACCAGGAUUCUCGCUUUGGAGCCAGUCAGCCCCAGGAUUCUUGAGGGGUUCUCUGUUGGGCCGAGCUGCAAGAGAGAGCCCUGGCCUGUUUUAAGGCAGACCCGAGCACUUAAUUGGAAGUAAAUAAUAGACUUCCAUUUCAUGGUGUGUGCCAUAGUAGUUGAUUCUAAUUUGGAAGGGGCAAGCUGUGCCCCUGAUGAAAGGAAUGUAGUCAUCAGGGCUAGAGUCAUGGGGAUAUUAUGGGGAUAUUACGGGGAGAUCCUGUGUUUAAGGAUAUGCACUGAUUUAUAGAAGCUCACUGAAAAUAUUAUAGUGGAAUGUUUGGUCAGGAGGUCUGCUUUUUUGGUUCUAUUUCUGCCCAGUAUUGGAGAACGGGUGAGUGUAAAUUUUAAAAGAAGUAAUUUCUUAUGCACAUUUGUGCAAACUCCCUAAGGGGAAUCAGUGAAAGACUGUUUGAGACACUGGAUUUCUUGGAAGAAAGUUGCUACAUAAAUUAGUGGAGAGCUUUUUUUUUUUUCCAUGGCAGGUUUGCAGGACCCUCUAAAGAACCCUCCCAUCAUGGAAGGGAGAAAAUGAAACUCUCUACCAGCGUCUAUUAGGGAAGCUAAAUUUCUCUCUUUCCGGCAAGUUUCCCAAACCUCGUGACUCUCAUUUCCAGACCAAAGAGUAAGGUUUUAUUUUUAUUAUUCUUUAUACUUGGCAUAUGGAGGAGAGUCCCACAAUGGGGCAGGCCAGACUUAGGUACCCCAGGGGGAAUUCAGACACACCUACACAGUGCACCCCAAGCCAGCUCCUCCUUUCUCCUGACAGACAGUGCCCUCCUUCUCCCUGAAGUGUAUGAACAGGACUCCCCCUCAGAGCUGAGCCAGACCCUGGAUUCUCAAGGGCUUGGGUGAGUGGCCCAAUAUUUAAGAUGAUUGAAAUUCUAUGUGUGGUGUUUCUGAUUUAAUUCCUCAAUGACAGUUCCCUUAAACAUGUGGGAAAUAAGAAACCUCACUGAAAAUUUUAAUCUAAAAGACCAUUCGAUUCGGAGAAAUGAAACUACGUCCACAUCAAAGCUUGUGUUUUAAAACAAGUUUUAAAUGAAUGUUGACAACAGCAUUAUUCACAAUGGCCAAAAAGGGGAGACAAUCCGAAUGUCCAUCAACUAAUGAAUGGGUGAACAAAAAUGCGGUACAUUCACACAAUGGAAUACUAUUUGGCAAUAAAAAGGUAUGGAGUAUUGUUACAUGCUACACUGAUGAACCUUAAAACAUGCUAAGUGAAAGAAGCCAGUCACAAAGGCACCCAUAACGUAUGAUUUCAUUUGUGUGAAAUUCCUAGAGUAGACAAAUCUACAGACACGGAAAAUAGAUUAGUGAUUGCCGAGGGCUGGGGGUCAGAGUCCAGGCAUUGAAAGAUGACAGCACAAUAGGACAGGGUUUCUUUGUGAGGCUAGGAAAAUGUUCCACAAUUAAUUCAUCGUGGUGGAGAAUGAACAACUCCGAAGAGGUAUCAAAAAACACUGAAUUCUGGGGCGCCUGGGUGGCUCACUCAGUUAAGCGUCUGACUUCGACUCAGGUCAUGAUCUCACAGUUCGUGGGUUGAGCGUCGUGUCGGGCUCUGAGCUGACAGCUCAGAGCCUGGAGCCUGCUUCGGAUUCUCAGUCUCCCUCUUUCUGCCCCUCCCUUGCUCGUGCUCUCUCUCUCUCUCUCUCUCUCUCUCUCAAAAAUAAACAUUAAAAAGAAAAACACUGAAUUUUGCAUUUUGAAUGGAUGAAUUCCAUCAUGUGCAAAUUAUGUCUCAAUAAAAUUGUUAAAAUUGUUUAAAAGAAAUGAUACUUUUAAAAAGACCAUUGGUUUAUGUCUCUUUUUCUGAAGCUGAUUCCCUUGGGAUGCAGGUAUCCAGGCUGAAAACCGGAUUUUAUGAGCUGAGGAAGAUGACAAUGUGAAAAAUGGCGAUUUUCCCUUAGGCAGAGAUCUGAUUUGCAGAUCCCUUCGUACCCACAAUGCUUGUGGCUACAGCUGCUUUGAACUUUGCUGAAAGGAUUUUUCUUAGCUUGAAAUCAUUAAAAUAGGUUUAAACGGCACUGAAGUGGCUUUAUUGUUGUUAUCUAUUCCUUUCCCUCCCUUUAAGUAAUAGCACCCCAAUAUCCUCUUAAGGAACCACCCACCUCGUUUUCAGUUCAUGUGGUUUGAAUCUUGCUGACCCUACGCCUUAGGCUCUAUGAGUCAGGCCUGACCAAUCAGCACAUUUCAUCCAGUGGUGUGUCAGAGCUGGCUCAUCCCAGCUUAUUCGAACCAACUGGUAAAUUUUUAGGAACUUUGUGAGCCAGUUGCUAAAUAUGAUCACUAUUAAAAUUUUAAGUACAUAAAUUUAUAAUUAAAUACAUUAUACUUAAAAUGGAGUUAUUAGGCACUCAAAACUCAUCGCCUCCUAAUUAUUUGAAUACAUUCUACUAUUACCUGUUCUCCUGAGGUUACUUACAUCUAUCAGAUCUGCAUGAUUUAAGUGCACCCCUGUGUGUCUCUUUUCAACCCCAUGUUCAGUGACUUCCUGUCAGCAGCUUGGCCUCGGCCAUGGGCAGUGUUUAUACAUCACAACUAUGUAAAUGCUGUAUAUCAGGGCUUCUUCUUUCCUGUCAAGGAGAGUGUCAAUCAUCUGCCAGCUGUAGUGGCUUAAAUAGUACCCCCCCCCCAAAAAAAAGAGGUUUGUGUCCAAACCGGGGUAGUUGUGAAUAUAACUUUGUUUGGGAAAGGGAUCUUUGCAACUGUGUUUAAGAUAAGCGUCUUGAGCUGAGAGCAUCCUGGAUUAUCACACGUGUCCUUAUAAGAAGAGGCAGGGGAGUUCAACACACACACAGAUAAUACAAGGAGGCAAUGAGACCAGAGAGAUUGACUGAAGGAGUGCAGCCAUAAGCCAAGGGAUGCCUGCAGCUGCUAGAAUCUGGAAGAGGCAUGAAACAGAAUCUCCCCUGGAACCUCUAGAGGGAGCACAGCCUUGCUGACACCUUGACUUUGGAGGGUUAGCCUCCAGAAAUAUGCAAGAAUAAAUUUCUGUUUUGAAGCCACCCAGUCUGUGAUAAUUUGUGAUGGCAGCCACAGAAAACUAGCCUACUGGCACCCACUGGGGUACUAUUGUACGACCAGGGAUGGGCAUGUUACCCCAGUUAGGACAAUGGGAGGUCAGCUCCGUGAAAGAAACCAUCUCCUUCUACUAGGGGUUGCCAAAUGGUGCCAUUUUUGCCACCAUAUUUGCCUAAGAAUGAAAACAGCACAGAAAGUUGUCAAGUAGACAUCUGGAGAGAGAGAGAGAGAGAGAGAGAGAGAGAGAGAAAGAUCCCAGAACGAUGUUGUUUGAGAAGCUGGACCUAGUCUACUACUGGAAUUCUCUAUUGCAUGAAUGCAUUAAUUUCUUUUCUUUUUAAACCAAGUUCCUGACCGAUAUACACAUGUGAAUUUUAGGGAACAUUUGAAAGUGUUCUUUUGCACGGACAGGGUUGUAAAUACACACGGUUGCUAUCAUUUGAUCAGUUAUUACUGAAAUCAGGCAUAACUAACAAAGACAAUCAGGGAAACAUAUAACAAACAGUGAACAAUCUGAGAUCUACCUGAAUUCGAUCGUGUUCAUUUGUUCCACAAACACUUACUGAGCCCAACCAUGUUUAAAGUGUUCUACUCAGGGCACAUAUCCAUACAUUUAACAGCUUACAACUUAUUUGCCAGUAAGGAGUUUAGGACAGCUCACAUUACUGAGGUCACCAGCAGUAUUAAUUUUUCAUGACAUAGCCCAUAUUUUUCUGGACAGUACUAAAUUCAUAUAAUUUCCUUAUUUUUCCUAAAGAGAAUUUGUUUAAUGUACAAUGAAAAUAUUCUAACUUCUUUACGAGAUUCCAUUUAAGCACAUUCACAAAUCAUAAAAAAAAAAAAAAACUUUUGGCAAAUUGAAUAUUUUAAGUUGGGAAUUAUUCUUCUGGUGAUUUUCAAUGACACUGUGCCUUUGCUAAUUUUGUACUUCUCCAGAAUUUUUAUUCUCCAUUAUCUUAGUAAUUUGUUAGCAUGGAUAGGCACAUUUCUGAACGGAGGGUGUCACAGGAAAUCCCAGAGAUAGACAUACUGUAUUGAAUAUUUUUAAAAUAAAAGGAAAAUCUUUUUACACCCAGAAUGUCUACCUUUAUUUUUUUUAGUUCAGGAGAUUUAAAAUUAAUUCUGCCCCCAUAAUUCUAUUUUUUUCUCAUACCUUUCAAAUAGCUUUUUUUUUUUUUAUGAGCACAUUCUUCAUGUUGGAUGAAUUCCCAGCCAACUUUUUAAAUCUAAUUAAACUCACCUAAGUUUAACUCAGAUAGCAUUUGCGGUUAAUUUCUUAAUGGUUGAUAAACUGGAAACCCAUCUUUGGAACUUAUUAAAAAAAAAAAAAAGAGGUUCCUGAAGGUUGCUUAUUGCUAAAAGAGUCCGUUGCUAAUAAUGAUGUCACAAACAUCAAUAAACUAAUGCCCAUUUGUCUGGACUUAAAAUAGAAUAAACUUUCAAAUGCAAAUAUCCAGGGGCAUCUGGGUGGCUCAGACUUCAGACUUCAGCUCAGUUCAUGAUCUCACAGUUUGUGGGUUGGAGCCCCAUGUUGGGCUCAGUGCUGACAGCUCGGAGCCUGGAGACUACUUUGUAUUCUAUGUCUCCCUCUUUCUUUGCCCCUCCCCAGCUCACACUGUCUCUCUCUCUCUCUCUCUCUCUCUCUUUCUCUCUCUCAAAAAUAAGCAAACAUUAAAAAAAUGCAAAUAUCCAAAUAUUAUAUUAUUCUUUUACACUUUAUAUUUGCUUAUAGCUUUGCUUGUCAAAGAAAGAAUUGUUCUGAGUAUUUUCAAGGCAAAAGUAACAACAACAACAAACAAAUCCAUAAACAAACACAUAAGGAACAAGCAAGCAAACACACACACAAGCACACACACGUGAGGCAUAGGGAAUAAGAGAUUUCACUAGGACAUACAGCAGACAUUAAUGAAGCAACAAUAAUUCAAGUCUACUCUCCUUCCAGUCUGGAACAAUCCUGUUUGCUAUGAAAAAGUAGCCACCAAAAUCUUUUGGGAGAUUAGCAUCAUUAUCAAUACGGAUUUCAAGGAAAACGUGAACAACAUAAAAACUUAGCUUUCAGAUUCCCCAUUUUUAUAGCCCCAUAAAACCUAAAAUAAAAAUUGGGAGCACAUCCAGUUUAUCAAAGAAAGGUCAACAACAGACUCAAAAUAAAAGUUUAGGAAGUCACUUUCUAUUAACAAAAGCAGCUUUUAAAUAUUACUUUUUCCUGAUAAUUCUGGCUGAGAAGAACCCAAGCAAGUUAGCUUUUAUCCCUAAGGCCAAAAAGAAACUCACCACCAAAGUGGAAAUACAAGGCACCGGAAAAAAUCAGUGAUUUGUUCCCUGAUGGCAACUUUAUGCCAGAGACACAAGAGUUUCUUUACACGAACUUGUUUUCUUCAUGUGGAAAACACUGAUAGAAAUCUAGGUGAAUGGAUAUAAUUAAGUAGUUGUGUGGCUCCAACUCUAAAAUGCUUUUUUUUUUUUUUUUUUCUUUCCAUCAAACACCUCAGCGCUUGCCCAGUAACGAGACGAGAGGAACAGCCUUCUAAGAGUGAAGCCCUCAAGACGUUUCCAAGCUGCCUGGACAAAGGCUUGGAAUGACUACAAUGGUGAACCAUCCUGCCUUGGACCUGAAUCUAGAUCGAUGACCUAAUACAUCUUUUCCAACUCUGACUGCCAUGGUUUUAUGAGCAUCAAGGACUGGGCGUCUGCCAUUGUCAACAAGUAAGGCCUCUCCAGAGCUUGAACAUCCACAGAAACCCAAGUACCCCCCUCCCUCCCGAAAAGCACAGAUCGCCCAGUCUCCCAGGGCUCUGCGUGCUGCCUCUAGCUUUCACGUGUGACACAGAAACUCCUCUUUGGCAGGAUUAAUUCUUAAAUAAAGGAAGUGUGUCCGUUACUCUCCCCUGUUAUCUUGGUUUAAGAACUCUGAGUCAGAGCAGAUCUCUGAGAAACUAAUUAAGCUUAGCUUAAGGGCCUCUCUUUUUCAGGGGCCCUUCCAAAGGGCUGUACCUAAUUUUGUAUUUGUAAUUUUGCAUUCUUUUUAAAGUUAUUUCUUUACUUAUUUUUGAGAGAGAGCUCAAGUGGGGGAGGGGCAGAGAGAGAGAGAGAGAGAGAGAGAGAGAAUCCCAAGCAGGUUCCGCGAUGCCAGUGCAGGCCUGGACUUGGGGCUGGAACCCACCAACCUCAAGAUCAGGACCUGAGCGGAAGUCAGAGGCUUAACCAACUGCACCACUCAGGCACCCUGGUCACUUUGCAUUCUUUUUAAUAAAAAGUCCCCUUCAUUGUAUAAACUAUAGCCCUCCCGCCCCAUCCCAGGCGAUAGGGAUCUACCCUGGAGCUAGGUAAAUUGCACCAAAUGUUAGUUUGAUAAAAGUGUAAAAAUUAAACACAAACUCCCCUUCACGUUUUAUGAUGUCCCCCCCACCCCCACCCCCCUUCUGGCAAGUCAUGGUUAAAGAGGAGACCUCUUGGAGUCUCCGGUCCUCAGCUGUCCUCUCAACUACAGCGUUAGCUCAAAAACUGGCUGCGUUUUAAAUUUAUUCUCCUUAGCUCCUCAUUAAAAGAACACGCCAUUGUGGGCUAAUUAUUACAAUAGCUUGUAGACUCUAAAGGCCAGAAGAAUUUCCACGAGUGGCCUCCCUUUGGUUACGCGGCAUCCCUGUUCCAAUUUCAGCUAAGUUGUGUUUUCCAGUAAAGUUAAUGGAUUUGGACUAGGCUUCUAUACUUUGGUAACAGGGCUCUCAAGGGACCAUGCUACAGAAACAUUUAUUUUUUCUGAUCACAAAAAUAAUGGCAUAUCUAUAUAAAUAUAUAUACACACAUACAUAAGUAACUUGAAACAUUAUAAUAAUGCAUAGCUUUGAAAGUGAAAAUCUUCCAUAAUCCCACACAGCUGAGAAAACCCGUUAACAUUUUUUUUGAAGGCAUAUAGUAAAAUUUCAUUUAUUAUUUUACCAAAAAAUGGGAUUAUACUUCAACUUUGAAGCAUGCUAUUUUCCACCUAGCACUACGUCUUAGACAUCCUUCCAUGCCACUCUGUAAAAAAGUGAUCUUUUUAAUCUUCUUUUUUGAUGGCUCCAUGGUUUUGUACUCUAUGGCCAGACCAUGCAAUCCUUAACCAAUUGCCUGUUAACGACAUUUCGGUUCUUUCCAGUUUUCCCUGUAACAAAUAUUCUUGCAAACAUCAUUUUACACUUACAUCUUUGAGCGGUUGUAGGGGUGUUUCUCUAUGAUGAAUUCCCAGAAGGUGAAUUAUUACAGGGUCAAAGGUUAUGAGCAUUUCAUUUUUAAUAGCUAUUGCCAAAUUGCCCUCCAAUAAUUUUAUACCGAUUUACGCCUUCAACCACGCUGUAAGAAGGAGCCUGUUCCCCUCCCCACCCCCACCCCCCGCCCUUAGCAACACAAAAACCAUGCAAUUUAGGGAUGUCUGAUGUGAGUUAGGAGUUAAGAGGUUCAGUCUGGGGAGUGUUUUGCCUUUGUGAAAAGCUAACAAAGACAUCAAAAGUCUCCCCCUUUCCUUGAUGAACCCCUGGCUCUGAGUGAGCCAGUACCCAGACAUCUAGUUAACAUGAGAGGUUCAAAUUCUAACACCUAAUGCUUGCAUCUAGCUGAUUUUGGGGGGGGAUGAUUUGUCGCUGAAUGUAUAAGCAAAUGUGUUAGCUAUAAAAUACUUAGUAACCUAAUUAUUAGAGAAAUAUAAAUCGGUCUUGACUUUCGCACUGCUGUCUUAAUGUGAACGACACAUUUAAUGUUAGAGCGUCAGUAUGUUUCCAUCUGCAAAAUGCCUUGAUUUCACCUUUUCGUUGAUUGGUGCUCAGUAAUUUGGAAAAACCUAUUCUUGACAGACAUGCAAAACGUGGCUUUGAGUCAGCCUAUUAAAGAGGAGCAAGGUUUGCCAACAUCCAGUCUUCAAGAAUUCAUUUUGAGGCUUACUCCAGUUUACGUAUCCAGAAUUAGGAUCGUUGGGCGUUAGAUGGGAAAAAACUUUAGGGGUUAUCUAGUCAAAAGACUGAAACUCUAUUCCACAAAGCCUUGGAGCUGCUUCAGGGAGACAGAAGACAUUGGUGGAAGAGGAAGUCAGCCCGCCAUUAAAGGUUCAUGGUAUUGCAAUCCUAAUUCCACCACAAGAGCGCUGCUCUGAACUGCUUCCUAUGGUGGGUAAUAUAUUAUGUUAUAUGGAGCAAGUUGAUCUCUUAUUUUCCUCUCCUGUUAAGACAGACAUGAUGACAGGGCUCAUUGAAGAGUAGUGGAGUUUUGGGGCUCAGUUGGUUAAGCGUCCACCUUUGGCUCAAGUCACAAUCUCCUGGUUUGUGAGUUCCAGCCCCGUGUGGGGCUCUGUGCUGAGCUCAGGGCCUGGAGCCUGCUUCAGAGUCUGUAUCUCCCUCUCUCUCUGCUCCUCCCCUGCUCUCAUGCUCUGUCUCCCUCUUUCUCUCAAAAAAAAAAAAAUAAUAAUAAUAAUAAUAAAUUAAUUAAAAAAAGAAGAGUCGAGAAGGUUUGUUUGUUUUUUCUUUCUUUUUAAGUAGGCCUCAGGCCCCAUGUGGAGCCCGACAUGGGGCUGAAACUGAAAGCCCUGAGAUCAAGACCUGAGCUGAGAUCCAGAGCUGGACGUUUAACUGACUGAGCCAACCCAGGUGCCCCAAGAGUAGUGACGGUUAAAUUAAGUAAUACUGUACACUUACAGUGCUUAGCUUUGUGCCCUAAACAUGCCAAGGAACCAAAAAGUGUUUGCUAAUUUAUUAUUUAAGGUUGUCCUUUGAAAAGGGAUUUUGUUGCUUAAAGAUACAUUUCAAAACCACCCAUUUACUUUUACAUCUAUAAAACAAGGUGAUUAUUCCGGAUGGAGUGGCUUUAGAUUUUAUUUAUUUCCUGCUUUCCAAUCCAGUGAUCUUACUUGCAGAUUCCAGUGCACUUUGAUGGAGAAUGCUGGGGGGCUCUGAGCAUAACUGGCCUCCCACACACCAGGUGGCGCCACCUGCCAUCCAGCUGGCCAAGACCAUGGCUUGUCUAUCUGCCUUGCUCUUGAUUUAGGAAAGAAACAUGACCUUGGGAAGAAAAGUGUCCCUUGCCCUGUGGGAGAAGUUGCCCACGGGUUCACCCCGAGAACUAAACAUGAAAGUUGGAAAAUACUAGAAACAUUACCUAGGUGCUAUCUCUUCUGUGAUUAUGAGGACAACUGAAGGGAGUUCAGAAGUGGACACUUCAGCCUUCUACAACGAGCUGAAUUUUCUAUUCUUGGCCAGACACUUUCAAAAGGAAGAAUUCACACAACAAACAUACACCCUUAUCAAUCCUUUUCUUAGGAAAGCUUGGCUUGGUGGAGGGGAAGUUUUCAAGUUUGCCUAAUGAGUCACAGACGUGAGGCAGGAAGGGGAGAGCUUCAAGCAUUUUCCUCUUCAAGAGGUCUAACCGGAGACCAAACAUCAGGGAGUGAGGAGCAGAACCUUCUAAGCCAUGUAUCUUUUCUACCCCAGAACUCCUUCCAGUGCCAGUCGCUGCUGCUGCUUGAGAGCCAGACGUGGGCUCGGGGAGGGGCUUCUCUGUGUCAGGGCCAUUCAGGGUCUGUGGCAGGCUUAGGAACAAGUAGACGUAAAAGCUGUAGAAUUAAGAGUUGAAAACAGCAUUUAAUGAAACCCCUCCCUCCAGACGCUCGUGAUCAAAGUCUAUCCUUGCACUAAGACAAUUGAUCUACAGUUGCAUCCAUAAAAUUUUGGCAACACUCUGUCCUCAUUGCUUUCAACAGAGGCUUUAGACCUCUGAGGCUGGGCAUUGUCCCAGAAUUGAGAGCCAGUUGCAUUACGCAUACCAGAAGAUACACCACCACAGCCGAGGCCCGUGCAACCACUUUCUUUUAACCUCGCGUCUGUGAAAAAUUACUUUCCAAAAAAAUAAGUGAAACCCGAUGUCUUCUCCGGGUGGUUAUUCUUGCGCCUAUGAAGUCAAUAAAACUCUCCAGAUUUAUUAGACAGCCCUGCUGCGGAAGACAAGACCACUUCCUAUUCCCUCCCAGAAAUGUGUGCCUUUCCUUUCUGUAACCUUCUGACCAGAUUUUAAUUUUGUUCAUUUCUUGGAUUAUUUAUUUAUUUUUAUUUUUCAGAAAACUGGUUCGAACCCUCUAGGACAAGUGGCUUGGCCUGUGCUAAAAUCCCGAUUUCUGGCCUCCAAGAGUGAUAACAUGACCACAUUUUGCUCCUCUAGCUUUUCCUCUUUGCCUUCCAUUUUAGAUAGACCCUCUUCUUCACAUCAGAAGGAGCAGAGUUGGGGGGCACCUGGGUGGCUCAGUCGGUUAAGCGCCUGACUCUUGAUUGUGGCUCAGGUCAUGAUCUCAUGGUUCGUGAGUUUGAGCCCCACCUUGAGCUCUCUCCCUCUCUCUCUCUCUCUCUGCCUCUCCUCUGCUUGCUUGAGCUCUCUCUCUCUCUCCAAAUAAAUAAACUUAAAAAAAAAAAAAGUAUCAGAGUUUGGCUCUCUUUUUCCACCAUGCUAAGCAUGAAAUGUAGUACCUACCAACAAGUUAUACUCCUGUGAGAGCCUACUAACCAUGGGUUGAUGAUGAUGAUAAAUGACAGUUGUAUUCAAUUCUAUUUAAUACAACAGUAUUUAUUGAACUCCUCCUAUACAUGCUAGGGCUUUCCUGGGUAUAAAGAUGUAAAGAUACAGAGGAAGAUGUGCAUUCUUUCAGGGGGGAAAUUAACAUGUUAGCGAGUAAAAGUCAUCUAGUGUGACAGAUUCCAUAAUAAACAGAAUGCUGUAGGAUACAAAACCUGGAACCUGGAAAGGAAAUGAAAGGUUUCUCAAAGGGAAUGACUCUGUGUUGAUUCAAAAUUUUUUUUUACAUGUUUAUUUAUUUUUGAGAGAGAGAGAGAGAGCGCCAGCUAGAGAGGGGCGGGGGGGGGGGGGGNGGGGGGAGAGAGAAUCCUUAGCAGGCUCUGCAUGGACAGUGCAGAGUGAGAUGUGGGGCUCGAACCCAUGAGCCAUAAGAUCAUGUCCUGAGCCAAGGUCAGGUGCUUAACCGACUGAGCCACCCAGGCACCCAGACUCUGCAUUUACCGGUGAGCAGGAAUUCAGCAGAUGAACUUGGGGAAGGGCAUCUCAAGCAGAGGAACUGGCAAAUUCAGAGAAUCAGAGGUGUGAAACAGCAGGGCCUAUUUGGGACCUGAGAAGUUCUGUGCAUUGAGAAUGAAGGCUGAAAGGUUGUAUGUAGGCAACCUGUGUUCUUACAUGAAUGUGGGCAUAUUUGUUUGGUGAUGGGGAGCUACUGGAUGGGUUAAAGACUUGGGGCAACUGUGGUAGCAUGACCAAGGAGGUAGGGGCCAAGUAGCCAAGUGCUAUCCCGAGAAGAAAUGAAGACAGCCUAAACUGGACCAGUGUGGCUGAAACGGAGAGGAAGAUACAGAGUGAGAGCAGAGAGAAAGACAUGAACAGGGAGUAGAGUGGUAAAAACUGUCACUCCAGAAUGACUUCUAAGCAGUUGUAUUCCACUAUUUAAGAGUGUAAAUUACCUCCGAAAUGCUUUUAUUUAUUUUUAUUUUUUAUGAGAAAGAAAGAGUGAGAGAAUGUGUGCACCAGUGGGGGAGGGGCAGAGAGAGAGAGAGAGAGAAAAUCCUAAGCAGUCUCCAUGCUAAGUGGGGCUUGAACUCACAAACCGUGUCAUCAUGACCUGAGCCAAAAUCAAAAGUCAGACACUUAACCGACUGAGCCAGCCGGGUUCAUUUUUUUAUUUAUUUUCUUUUUAAUGUUUAUUUAUUUUUGAGAGGGAGACAGAGCAUGAGUUGGGGGGCGGGGGGUAGAGAGAGGGAGACACAGAAUCCGAAGCAGGCUCCAGACUCUGAGCUGUCAGCACAGAGCCGGACGCGGGGCUCGAACUCACAGACCAUGAGAUCAUGUCCUGAGCUGAAGUCGAACGCCCAACAGACUGAGCCACCCAGGUGCCGCCUCCCCAAACGCUUUUCACUGUAAGUUAUUGAGUCACUAAUUCUUUUUCCCUGCCCAUUUCCGGAAAAGAUUUAAGGUAGGAAAGCUAUUCUGUAGCUAGAGCCAGGGCCAUCCUAUAUGACUGUGUGACGUGUUGAAGAGCAUUGGUAGGACACCAUCCCUGGUUCAGUCAAUUCUGAAUACCAUUAAAAGAAAUUUACACCCGCGCUAUCUUGGCUAGUUUCAGUUCUGAUUACCCUCAUGUGAAUACGCCGUAUAUCGCAACUUAACUGGCACUUCCUUGGACAAUAACUUCUUGCUUAUUUACUCAUCUUUUGGGGCAUUGAGAGAGAAGGUGUGCUUACCUACAUCACCCAUCUGACAAAGGAAAGAAGUGCAACGUUUUGGGAGUCCGAUAACUCUUGGUUUGUUCCCCCGUGAACUGGGGCAAGGUGCCUAAGCUUAGUCUGUACACAUUGCAUAAUGAAACAUCAUUAAUAUCUACCUCAUAGUUUGGGGAUAAGAAUUAAGAGAAAGCGCUUGGCACCUAGGAAGUGACAGGUUCAUAGUCCUCUCUACGUGUCAGGCACCAUGCUGCCUGACAGUAGUGUCUCCUUGCAAUCAUCUAGUUUUACAAAGAAGAUAAUUUAAGCUCUUUUUUUUUUUUUCUUUGAGGGCAGGGUUUAUUUAUCAUUAUAUUCCCAGUCCCCAGAAUAGGAUCUGCCCCAAAGCACAGAAGUGUCUUGCUAAGAAGGAUUCAAUAACAACUUAUUCAAAGUCAAACAUCUAGUAAAUAAGAUGAUCAGGAUGUAGAUCUGUGUCUGCAUGAUUCUAAGCCCAGUGCGCCUUUAAUGACCUCCCAAGUUUUUUUUUUUUUUUUCUUGUUUCCCCUCAAAGAAAAUGACACGGAAGCUAGUCAAAGUGCUGCUUUGUGCUUUCUCUUACUACUAGUUUUCAAAUCAUUUAAUUAUCAUAAGUGGGGCAUUCUCAGUAUAAGCUAUUUCCAUCUGUAUCACUUAAAGAUCAUUUUCAGAGUAUUUUUUUAAAGUAGGGCAUAGGGCUUGAACUCACAACCCUGAGAUCAAGACCUGAGCUCAUAAUCAAGAGUCAGACACUCCACCAACUGAGCCACCCAGACGCCCCCUGAGUAUUUCUACACGGGUCAAGCUCUUGUCUGAUAAUCUUCCUUCAUGAGUCCCAGUUCCAGUUUUUAAUGCUUUCUUGGUGAGGUUCACCUACCAGACUCGUCUAUUUUUUUUUAAAACUCAUAAAACUUUAUUGAGUGUUUAAAACGUCAUGUGAGAUCAGAGUCUUCUGAAGGCACUUCAGCUGUAACAUCUCCAAGUGCAAACUCAGCAACUAGCCCCAUCUCCUCUUCUCCCCACUCCCCUCUCCAAAACACCUGCUUCCCCUUAGAUCCUGAGAGGUGGCAUUUUCAUCCACCCACACGUUAAAGACUUUGGAGUCCAUCGUUACUCCUCCUGUUUUCCUUCUCCAACUGGUCGCCAAGCUUUAUUGUUUCUACCCCAGUAAAGGUUUUCACAUCUGGCUUUUCCUUUUCAUCUCAGCUGCUACUUUCUCAAUUGGUCCUUCACCAUGGUUUGAAUGGAGACUUUGGACAGCUUCCCACUUGACCUUCUUACCUUCAGUCCCUCAUGAGCCUUUUGAAGGCAAGAUUCUCUUCCUAUAGCACAGAGCAGAUCAGGCGCUCUUCUGGUCUAACACCAUUGGUGGGGCUCGCCUCACCUUCCAUGCAAGAGGCUAUGCUCCCUACGACGUACUAAUAUGUUUAAACCGAGCCCCGUCAGAUUUUCCUGCCACUGUCCUCAUGUGUCCUUGGCUUCAGCUAUACUGCACCACUCGCUAUUCCCCAAACACCCAUCACACCAUAGGACUUGGUGCCUCUCUUCCAGCUGUGUCUUCUGCCCAUAAUGACCUUCUCCCCCUUUUUGCCCUUAAGAAUUCCUGCUCAUUCCAUAAGGCUCAAUCGAAUGUCACAUCUGGGAUGAGGCCCUCUCCACCUCCCCCCACCCCAACUCAAGAAAAAUCAAUGGCCCCUCCUUUGCCUUCAUCAUAGCACUUCCAACACUUUUAUUUUAAAAGUUUAUUUAGUCUUUAUGUAUUCACGGUCCAUGGAGUCUCAAGGUCAAGGGCUACUUAAUUCAUUGCUAAAACCCCAACACGAGGAUAGUUCAGUCUUUUUUUUUCUAUUUAAGGAAAAAGAGCACAGGGGCUUUUUGAAAAUUAAGUGAAUAAUGGGGCACCUGGGUGGCUCGGUUGUUUGAGCCUCCAAAUCUCGGUUUUGGCCCAGGUCAUGAUCUCACAGUUCAUGAGUUCGAGCCCUGCAGGGAUUCUCUCCCUCUCUCCCUUUCUCUGCCCCUCCCCCUCUCACACUCUCUUUCAAAAUAAAUAAACCUUAAAAAAUUAAAAAAAAAAAAAAAGAAAAUUGAGUGAAUAGCAUUGUAAGUGGUAAAAGGAAGGUAAAUCAUGUAGUAGGUGGGGUAAUAUCAGAUGUUUGGGAAUUUUGGUCUAGCCCAUAGUAGGUUCUGAAUAAAUGUGAGUUACUCCACACACAAAUCUAUUUUUUUGAGGUUCUCUAUUGUUUUUUUUUCUUUUCUCUUUUUACUGUUUACAAUUUUAAUUCCAGUCUUGAUAACAUACAGUGUUCUAUUAGUUUCAGGCGCAGGAUUUAGGGAUGCAGCACUCCUAUGCAUUACUCAGUGCUCCUCAUGAUCAGUGUAUGAACAAAUCUAUUUCACAAGUACUCGACUUCACCAUAGGCACACAUCUGUUUAGUAACAAAGGUAAAGAAUGGCUCUGAGGGGCGCCUGGGUGGCGCAGUCGGUUAAGCGUCCGACUUCAGCCAGGUCACGAUCUCGCGGUCCAUGAGUUCGAGCCCCGCGUCAGGCUCUGGGCUGAUGGCUCAGAGCCUGGAACCUGUUUCCGAUUCUGUGUCUCCCUCUCUCUGCCCCUCCCCCAUUCAUGCUCUGUCUCUGUCCCAAAAAUAAAUAAACGUUGAAAAAAAAAUUAAAAAAAAAAAAAGAAUGGCUCUGAAAAGAGAAGAUUGGUCUCAGGAUGAUAUGAAACUAGAAAUCCAUGGAAAAUGGAUGACCCCUAAGAAUGGAGCUUCUUCAGACUCGGAUGCUUUCUUCCCCUGCUAUGGGUAACCCUCACCACAAGGUGCGUUCAGACCCUGCUUGGACUUCUGUCAAUGUCCUUGUUUAAAAAGUGAUUUCCGGGGCGCCUGGGUGGCUCAGUCGGUUAAGCGGCCGACUUCCGCUCAGGUCACGAUCUCGCGGUCCGUGAGUUCGAGCCCCGCGUCGGGCUCUGUGCUGACAGCUCAGAGCCUGGAGCCUGUUUCAGAUUCUGUGUCUCCCUCUCUCUCUGCCCCUCCCCUGUUCAUGCUCUGUCUCUCCCUGUCUCAAAAAUAAAUAAAAUGUUAAAAAAAAUAAAAAUAAAAAAAUAAGAAGUGAUUUCCAAGCAGCCAGAGGACCAACCUUUCCUCACCGUGCUACGGGGCUGUUCUCUCAGGAACUCGUGUCAUCUGCUCCAUCGUCAUAUGCCAGCUUUGGAGAGGAGUUUUCACGUUUUUGUUGUGGGAGAAAACACUAACGUGAAGAACUUCCGCACUAACUACAUCUCAGCUCCUACUUAAUAGGUUCUGUAGUUUACAAAUCUCUCUUGAAGGGUAUUUGAUGGUGUCUUAAGGAAGUCAGAUCUCACUGGAUGGAAAGUCAGGGGCCGUAGGUGCUAGUUCUGACCCUGCCACGAGACCCCUUGAGUUACCUGUGGGUAAGUCACUUCAGCAUUAGUUCUCUUUUCUGUCUCAGGGAUGGAAAAGGUUGCAAAUUUGGAGCACCUAGUACAGCUCUGGACCACAGAAGCACACUGUUCACCCCUUAUAGUGUUUGAAUGAGGUGACCGUUUAAUUGGGAGAUUUUGUAUCAGGACACAGGGUUUUAUUUUCCCUUGAGAAAUCAGCAGAUCUGAUCACAUGGGUCAGGUCCCGCAUUUCUACCCAGUUAUAGUAGCUCCCCUCUUUAACAGAGCAUGGGCUUACCAGGGCCCCAACGACCUUCUCGUUUUCGGCUGCCCUUUCGUCUGCCUUAUGCAGAGGUAAAUACCAGUUGGUACUUGUCAUUGUACUGGUACUCAAGGGUGAUGUUAAAAAUACUUCGCUACGAAGGCCUGGUCACUGACCUAUCAGAAUGGAUACCUCUGUGCUAGAACAACAUCCUGCGCGUGCCUUGCUCUCCCCAGCUGUUGGGUCAUAGGGAGAGCUGAGAGUUCCUAGAGAAAAAGCAGGUGCCCAGAGGUGGGCCUCACUCUGUGGGCUGAGAGCAGCUUCUACAUGUCAGUUGGUAAGGACAAGGCUAACCUCAGGGGUAUACCACCUGAGCAUAAGCCUUGCUUCAACUAUAGUUUUCUCAGGGUAGACAGAUCUAUUCCUGCACCCCUGUCCCUCAUGGAAAACGGGAAAAUGAAGGAAAACUGUAGAGAAAAGGCCGAAUGAUUGCUCUUAUCCUUGAUUGCUUUGUUCUUUUACCCACUGGACACUAUGGCAUCUGAGUUUGAUUUCCUGGUCCUAACCAAUCUAUAAACUCUUUUCCAGCCUAAGCAUAAGGAGCCUCUAAUUUUAUCCAUUUCAUAAAUGGAGUGAAAAUUUUGCAAACCGUCUUGAAGAAUUUUGCAAAUCAUUGUACAGAAUUUAUAGAAGGUCUAAAACACCGUUAGAAAUAAUAAAUCGCCCAUAAAUUAUCUCCAUUUUAUUAUUGGGCUUUUCAAUUUUAAAAGCACUCUGAGGUUCUUUUUUUUUUUUUCUUUUUUAAUUUAGCCAUGGCUAUUUUUCAAAUGGAAUUAAUGACCAAAAGCUAGCCUCAUUCUCUAAUUACAGUAAGAGACACUAGACAGGAGUUGUUCCAGACACUGACCCAUCUUGGCUCAGGGAGAGGCUCUGGGCAGUUUUACUAUGUGCUGCCUUAGUACCUGGGGCCAGGAAACAUCUGUUAUAACAUGCAGUCCAGCGGGUGCUCUGCUUAAUUAUAAAAUGGCAUUGCAGUGUCCCUUUGAGUUGGCUGGCCUUAGCUUCUAACGCUCUCCUAUCAAGCGAAAUGAAAUUCUUGAUAUUCUGUUAACUGAGUAUCCAACCCGAGUGUUGAAAUGCUCUGAGGAGAGUGAAAAAAGUUAAACCUUUGCCCUCUGGAAAGGUGUGGGGAAAGACAAAACAAAGAAACGCUUCCUACAAGUAAUCGAGAAGCUGAGCUAUGACUGGGUGUCGCUUAUAUAGGGACUGGGGGAGCGGAUUCGGGAAUGACUCACACUUCUAGAAUGAACUGUUUAUAUAGCACUUCCUCCUCUUCGCUCCAGGGAUCCUGUUUGGAAGGUCGGGGACAAGGACAAUUGAGAAGCGAAGAGAAAACUGGAGAAGAGUGGAGGAAUACUUGGAACACCAAAAGGCUCGUUCACCUUGAAUCAGAGGACACGUUUCUGUAAUGAGUUCAUGCAAUCAGUUAUGGCCCAGGACUUAGGAUUUAUUCUUGGAACACACACAUUUGGGAAUUCUUCAUAAUGCUGUGAAUCUCUUAUUAACUAUUAUGAGAACUUACCUUCUCCAAUCCUCAUAUGCUAAUGGGAAAAGAGAGCUUAUUGUCCGUACUGUCUGCCUAGGAAUAUCCUUUGUCUCGUACCUUGUUGUAAUCACUUCCAGACCGGUGGUAUAUUUAUGAUUUACAUAAUGUUACAGAGGAAGAAGUCUUAAGGAUUUUUUUUUCUCUAAAUCUUUGUGAAUUAUUAUUUUAGACUCAUUGCCAGAUUUUUUUUUAAGGGGGAAGUUGAUGAACUUUUAAACAUGUCAUUACAUUCCGAAAUAGCAACUCUUUGUUCUUUCAAAGUUUUUUUGGUGGGGAUUUAAAGGGCUGUGUGUGUGUGUGUGUGUGCGUGUGUGUUUAGAAACAGGUUGAGAAGGAAAUGGGUAAAAGAGAACUCUUUAGGUUCGCUGAUGAAGUUAAAUACAGAUUUUGUGUUUCCAGUAGAACAAAAGUUAGCAGAUUUGGGGGAUCUUACCUAACACGUGGGAUAGGUUUUGGAAGGGUGGCUCUCCAUUCAUUUCCAAUCAUGUUUCAGUAAUUAGGGGUAGCAACCGAAGGGUUAAGCCCUAAAGCAAGGAAAUAUCUCUAAGUCAGAAAACAAAGGGAAACUUGCAUAUUUCUGGAGAUGACAUCGGAUAGGCCUGUGAAUUUCAAGCAAUUAUGUGAUAUUAUGAUUCCCACUGAGUAUGCAUUAGUUGGAAUACUGUUCUUUUUCUUUCUCCGUGUCCCGGGGUUGUACACUGAAGAGCCCUGUUCAACUUUGCAUGUCAGAAUUUUGAAGGAAAAAUUAUAGUAAAAUAUGUUUAAAACAGUGGGGCCUUAUGUG
rnacentral:lncRNA from 1 species